CAAAUUUCAUCGAUAUAUUGAAGGAUAACGGUGGAUUCACAGAUCGGUUUUCCAUCAUGAACGAGCACCGGGACUUGCUUAUGAAUUGGAUUAUAUUGAAGAAGCGAAGGACUCUUGUUGAGGAGAUCUUCUUCAAUAUAUUCGUACAGUAUGCCUUUGAGUUUUAGAGCCCAAAUUACUCUGUAACCGUACGGACUAAACCAAGAUCCGUGCAAUUUCACGACCGCCAUGGUUGAGAGGUUAGUUCAGAGAUUCUAAGAGCGCUGAGUGCAAAUUUAUAAUAGGAUUACAGGUCAAAGAUUGUCUAAGGUAACGAUGGUGACUGUUUUUUUUCAUGACAUAAUUCUAAAUUUCAUGACAUAAAAAAGAGAAAUUGACAAAAAUUGUAGGCCCUAAAAGUUAGAAUCUGUCACUAAGACUUUUAUACAAAGAUGGAGUAUUAUAAAAGAUUUUAUAUAACAAUAUAAGGUACGGUAGUGUCAUGCAUGAUGCAUCUUUAUUAAUUGUUUCUUUAAUUUGAAUAAUGUUUUUAGAAAUAAAUUAGUGGUUGGUUGAAUUGAUUAGGCCAUUAGUUUGUCGAUUUGAUAAGUUCGAUAAAGAUAUAAUAAUAAAUUCAUAAAAAAGAAUAUUUAAGAAAUCUGGUUCAACCGUCAAUUUAAUUGAUUUUUUAACCGGUUCAAUCGAUUCGAUGUUUUUUUUCGAAUCUAUAUUUCGACCUGUUUCUAGUCCAACCGAACAAUCCAAUCCUAUUUAAAAACAAGUAAAAACCCCAUAUAUAAUUUUGAACCCAUAUAUAAUUGAAUAUAUAUGUUUUUUUUAUAAUUAAGGUAUCAUAUAUAUUUAUUUUACCUGUGUGUUGAUUUGAUGAUCAGGGUGUUCACCGUCUCAGAUGUGAUCUGGGUUCAAGCCACGCUAAUCGUGUUGCUGUUAAGACUUUGCUCUCCUCUUAUAAUUCACCAAAAAAAAGAUCAUUUAUCUUUGAUGUUUUAGAAAAUGUGUCAUCAUGUCAAGGGAGCAUUUGACUAUAAAAUUAAACCGUGCUAAUGUGUUGACAUGUAAUAAGUGAAAAUAUUUUAGAAUUGUUUUAGAACUAACUACUACUUAAAUUAUUCGAAAAUUCUAUUUUAUUAUAUAUUAUAUGUGUAUGGAUGCCACUUGUCUCACCCCCAAGAUGUUACGUAGAGUUGAAAGAUAAAAUUUGAAGUUAAAAUUAAAUAUAAACAUUUUAAAUAUAAUAUCGACCAUCGUUAAAGAAUUUAUUAUCUUUGAAUUUCAUAUGAUGGCUUGAUAGUUAAAAGUGUUCAUCACCCCAAGUGUGGGGUAGAGUUCGAGUCUCGUUUGUUGUUUGGGUUUUACUUUAUUAUUGUAAUUCACAAAAAAAAAAGAAUCUAUCAACUUUCAACGGAUUAUAUUUUGAAAACUUCUCAAAAAUAAAUUAGACCUCUCCUCAACAAAUUUAAAUAUAAAAAAGUAACUUCGAGUAAAAAGCAUAAAUACAUGUAAUUUUUUCAAAAAUAUAUAUAAUGCAAUGCCGCAUAUAGAGACAAUAAAAAUAUUUUUUAUUUGGAAUAUUUUGAAUACUAUUUGGAAGUAAAUUGAAAACAAUUUGUUAAGUGAUCAAUUUGAUAAAAAUUGAAGCAAGGAUUAAAUUGUAAAUUUUGUAAAAUUCCAAAUGUUAAAUGUUGAUUACUGAAAUCUAAAAAUUUAGUGUUGUACUAAAUUAUAUGAUUAUGAAAUAUGAAAAUUGAACGAUUGGGCAUAAAAUAGUAAAGUUUGAAAUUAUAGGGAUUAAAUUGUAAAGAUUCCAAAACACGAGUUUUAGAACUAAUUUAUGUGGGUUGAGAAUUUACAAUUCUAAAAAUAGAAUAUGAAAGUUUAAUGGUUCAAAAAUCAUGGACUAAUUUGUGGAAAAUUUGACAAGAUUUUAAUAGUAGGAAUUAAAUUAUAAAAUCUCAAAAUUUUGAAAAAAGAAAAAGAACAAGAAGAGAGAGACUGUUUUGCAAAACUAGGCAAACUGGGAUUUAAGGCUGAAUUGAAAACAAAAUGACUUCCAGGGACUAAAUUGUAAAAUAGUGUAAAUUUAGGAGUUUGGGACUAAAUCGUAAAAACUGUGUAACUAUAAUUUUAAGGGUUGUUUAGUAAAUUUGGAAAAAUAUAGGAGUGGAAAUGAGCAGAUUAGUUACAUAAGUGUUUAAAUGUAAUGUUUGAAAAUUUUACUAAAUUAAGUGUAUUAAACUAAAAUAAUUGAGUAAAAAAAAAUUAAAACUUGAAUUAGUAAAGAUUAGAUACAUUAAAGUGAAGAGAAUUAUAUUAUGAAGUAUAUCUUAAAAAGAAUUUUAUGAAUAAACUGUGAAUUAGCUGCUGUUGAUUUUGGGUAUGUAGCAAAUAAAACGUGUUGGAAAUUUGAAGAAAUGGUUGUCCAAACUGACUGGUAUUUUCAUCUGACAUAUGAAGAAAUGAUUGUCUAAAAUGGCUGCUGUUACCAGAACUUAUUAUAUCUGAUAUUUAAGAAAUGGUUGUCCAAAAUGACCGUUGUUUUCAUAAUUUAUUAUGUCUGACAUAUGAGGAAAUGGUUGUCUAAAAUGGCUGUUGUUCGGUUAUGGUGCGAGUUUAAUUCAUUUCUUUCUUGAAUGGUUGGUUGUAUUCUUAUUUUGGUAAGUAGGUGAAUAAAAUUCGAUUCGAUUUUAAAAAUUAAAUUAAAUAGUUCGAAUUAAUCGAGUUAUUUGGAUCAACUCGAAUAAAAAAUUAAAUUUUUUAGUUUAAUUCGAAUAUGAAUUAUACAAUUCGAGUUAUCUAAAAAUCUAAAUAAAAAAGUACAAAAUUACGUCGUUUUGGUAUGAUUACAGGUCAAGAAUUUGAAGAUGAAUAUGUGACAACCUGUUGAUAUGAUUACAAAUGUGAUAUGAAAGGAUUAUAUUCCUAUAAUAUAAGUUAACAUAUUAAAUUGCUUACGAACUUUUGUUUUGUAUUUAUGUCCUCAAAUAAUUUAUGUUUUGUUAUAAUAUUAGUUAUAGAAAUGUCACUGAGUUGAUUACUCAGCAUUGCAGGUUAGGUUCAAUUGUGUGCACUCAUUGUUAUCAGCAUCCAACAGAAAAUCUCGCACUUAUCGAGUUGGUGAAACUCUUACUAUUUUGGCUGGCAUGUACCUAUAGGUUUUUAUGUUAUAUUAAGCUUAGUUAGAGAAUUAUUUCAUACUUUGAGACGUAUAAAUAUACAAGUUAAUUAAUGACUUUGAAUUAUCUUACUAUAAACAAGGAAUCACUUGAAAAUUACUUAAUGACUUUGAAUUAUUAUUUUAUUAAAUAGUUGAAUUCCGAGGUGAAAUUUUAUUACUAAGCCAUCGUAGUUUCAUAAGGACAGGUUAAUUAAAUUAAUUUGUUCAUAGAUUUUUAUCGGUAAAGUCAUCAUGAGUUUAACGAAAUUAGAAUUGAGUUGAGAAAAUAAUUUAGUUAAUUUAAUUAAUUAAAAGAAUAAAAAAAUAUUUUCAGCAUAAAAAAUAUUUAUUGGAAUAAAAAUUAUAGACCCGAUAUAGGAGGGAGGGGAUGCAAACCAGUAUGGACCCGUUGAACUGGAUUUUUAUUGUUUUUUAAUCUUGAUGAUUUAUUUAAACGAACAAACAAACCAAUCGAAACUACUAGACCAACAAAUCGAUAACAUGAUCGGUUUGAAUUCUGAAAACGUUCGAUAAAGAACAUAAGUGUUCAGAUCCUCUCAAAUAUUGGAUUACAUCUUCAACCUUAUGUGUAACAUUUAACACUUCCAUGGGAGAAAAUACAAUCAAUGUUCCAAACCCUAAUUCGAUUUUGAUGUCAACAACAUCUCUUUACGACGCUUCAAGUAAGCAAUUAUCUUAUCGGUUUUAGGCAAGUACGUUGUCUUUGAUUACAGGGACUGAUUUGAAAUUUUGGAUCCACGAGAUCACUCGAACAAAUUUGUGUGGCUCAAAGACUUUAAGCCCUGCUGCGUCUUCGAUAACCCCGACGAGCCAGUGAGCAACCAUGCAAAAUGCAAUGUCCACCAUGUUUAUCUCAUCUCCGCCGAAGAAUUUUUUCCCUCCAAUUAACGCAUAUUCUUCCAUGGCUUCCAGCAUUUCCAACCACUCCUUCACUACCGCCUGUUGUUCUUCACCUUCGGCUCGAUAAAGCUUUGCUAUUAUAGGUAUAGAUUAAUAAAUAAACCGCUCUCUUACCAUAUAGGUAUAGAUUAAUAAAUAUAAAAAUCAAUAAAUGGGAAAUCGUCAUAUGCAUCAAAUAAAUAAGGUUUAAUUGCAAAAUUGAUGCUUAAACUAUAUCAAUUUUCUCAUUAAGGUACCUAAAUUUUGUCAAAAAUAUACUCAAACUAUUAAUUUCAUUACAUUUUACCCAAAAAUUGUAACACCCCUAUCCCGUAUCCAUCACCAGAAUGGGGUUAUAGAGCAUUAUCGGAGUUUACAAAUUAAUUUGCUGACAUUUCAUUUCAUUAAGCAUUCAUAUUUAAAACCAAACAAAAUCAAAACAUUAAUGAGCUAACGUUAGCCAAUUUAACUUAUAUAUGUCAUUCAAUGCAUUAUUCCCCUAACAUGCACAAACUCAACAUUCAAGUUAGUUCAAUAAUUUCCAUGUAUCAAUAACAUAUAUACCAUGAUUUCCAUUCCCUUUUCAUUUUUCCAUAUUUAUCCCGUUGAAUUUCUCAGAAUUUCGAUGGAUUUUCAGGGGUACACUUUAGUGUACAAAUUCGGGUCCGUCAAUUCAUAUUCAUGUGCGCACAUUUCCUUUUCAGAGAGCACACUCCCGCGAACCUCAUCCUUACAGCGGGAUUACCAGUCCAAGCUAAAUCUCCUGUAAUAUAAACUCAUAGAGUAUUGUCGGGAUUAUCAGUCCAGGCUAAAUCCCCUGCAAUGACAAUUACUCUAAUGAGCUUCGAUCUGAAUUAUCAGUCCAGGCUAAAUUCAGACCCUAAUUCAGAUUACCCGUCCGGGCUAAAUCCAUUUUUCACAUAUUCUUCGGGAGGGCUAUAUCAGGAUAGGAUCACCCAUCUAGGCUAGAUCCUUUUUUACUGUCAAUUCCUUUUCAGAAAUCCAUCGAAUUUUCCUUUCAUUCAACCAGUAUUUCUUCCUCUUUUUAUCAAAUAUAUCCAUGUUUCAUCAAUUUUCAUACAAUGACCAUUCAAAUAAUAUUCACAUCAAUAACAUACAUUUCAAACAUUUAAGAAUAUAAUUCAAGUUACACGAACUUACCAGGCUAAAUUGCAGAAAUACCAAAAUUCAGGGACAUUUUGGUAAUUUUCUAUUUUCCUCGAAUUUCCACCCAAUCUUGAUCUAAAUUAAUAUUUCAUUCAAUUUAUUAAUUUAAAUAAUAAAACAAUUCAUUUCAUGCAAUUUGGUCACUUUUUUACUUUUUUACAAAUUUACCCUUAAAAUAUUACUUUUAUUCAAUUUAGUCCCUAAACCUAAAACAUGAAAAUUAGCCAUUUUUAAUGAAAACUCGUGCUAGUUGAAUAAUCAUAUAUUUUCCUCCUCCUCUCCAUUCCACAUCCUUAAUGUAUAUAACAUGCUUAUAUGUAACAUUAUUUAUAAUUUCACUAUUUACUUAUUUGUUCAUUCAAAGCUGUCCACUUGAGUCAUAGUCACAAAAUUAUUUAUAUAUUAAACUAAAGAACUCCGAAUUGAGAUCCGUAAAUUUUCUCUGAAACUAUACUCAUAUAUCUCGUUACCAUAAAAUUUUAUGAAUUUUUGGUUUAUCUAAUAAGUACAGUUUAUUCUUUAAAAUCAUCCCUAUUCUACUGUCUGACAGUUUUGACCCUUCUUCACUUAAAAUUAAUUAUCUCCCCGUAAAAGAUUAGGAUAAUGUUCCCAUUUGUUUCUAUUGAAAAUAGACUCAUUAAAGAUUUUAAACAUAUAAAUUUAAGACCCUAAUCAUUUUUAUCCAAUUUUUGAUGAUUUUCCAAAUUCAGAACAGGGGAACCCAAAAUCAUUCUAUCUUUAUCUCACAAAAUUUAUUAUAACUCAUGAUUUAAAAUUCCAUUGCUUACUCUGUUUAUUCUAUGAAAAACUAGACUCAAUAAGAUUUAAUUCCAUAUUUUUUUCAUCCUCUAAUUCAAUUUCCAUGAUUUAUUGUGAUUUUUCAAAGUUAAUCUACUGCUGCUAUCCAAAAUUGUUUUAGUGCAAGAUGUUGAUACUCAAAUUUAUAACACCCUCCUUUCCUUUCUCUACAAUAUUUUCUAUCAAUUCCUCUUGUUUCCCUUCACUAAAAUAUCAAGAACAUAGAACCUUAUAUAAUAAAACCCUACAUUAACAUAAAUUUCAUACUUUUUGAAUAAUAUCAAACUCAAAAAUAUAUUGAAAUCUUGAUGUUCUUACCUUGCUCUAUUGAUUUCAAUCUUUAACUUGAUUUUCUCUCUCCUCUAGCCUCUAUUUCUUGAAUCUAACUUGAUAUUCUAGCUCCCCAUAGUCUCCUUAUCAAUUUUCUCUCUUGGUGGCUAUGGAAAUUUCUUUGAAUUCUAAGUGAAAAUGGUGAAUUUUUGGUGAGAGGACCAAAUUGUAAAGAAAAGAAAGUUUCUUUCUUUCUUUUCUCUUCAUACGUUGGGAUGCAAGGUAGAAGAUGAUGAUUCUUCAUCUUUUCUUCCAUAUAUAUAUAUAUACUAAAUAAAAUAAUAAUAAUAAAAUAAUAAAAUGUCAUUUAAAAAUCAAAUUAAAAUAUUAAUAAACUAAUAUUUAUUUAUUUAUUUAAUCUAAAAUAUCUCCAACUUCAUCAUUAUUUUCUAGAUUUCUCUUUCUUCUACUUGACCAUUUUGCCCUUUAUAUCUUUUAAAAUUCCAUCCUCGAGUCAUCACUUAAUUUGGUAAAAUUAUGAUUUAGUCCCUCAUAAUUCUUCAUCUAUUCAAUUUGGUCCCAAUUCAUCCAUUUUCUUUAGUUUCUAGAUUAUUCCACCCUUAAAAUAUUUAUACUAUCGGUCAUUCAAAUUUUCAUAUUUACACUUUAACCCCUCAAAUUUUGAGUAUUUACUCUUGGGUAACAAAACUUUUCUCACUUUUGCAAUUUAAUCAUUUAUUGAAUUAAUAUGUCAUAAUAUACUUUCCAAUGUUGUCAUAACUCAAAAUUCUCAUUUUUGUCACUUUAUUUCCUUACUAUAUCAAAGAUAAUAUCUUACUGUAAAAAUUUUCGAGGUAUUACAAAAAUUGUACGAUAUCAAUAAAACAUGGUACUGUGUUUUUUGGUAAAAUAAGAUAAAUUUAACAGUUUAAAUAUCAUUUUUGACCAAAAAAAACCCUUAGACACCUAAGUGAGAAAUACGAUAUAGUUUGAGGGUUAUUUUUGUAUUUAAACCAAAAAAAAAAGAUUUUACCUUGUCAUUAGAAAAUUUGAUCCAAAACAGAGCAACGGCUCUCUCAUGGGGGUCAGCAGGCAACAAGGGAUUUUGCGGCCAAAUUUCAUCAAUAUAUCGAAGGAUGACGGUGGAUCUUCUUAUGAAUUGGAUUAUAUUGAAGAAGCAAAGGACUCCUGUUGGAGAGAUAUUCUUCGAUGUAUUCGUAAGCUAUGUCUUUGAGUUUCAAAGCCCAAAUUACUUUGUAACAGUACGGACUAGGCCAAGCUCCGAACAGUUUCACAACAGCCAUGGUUGUGAGAUUAGUCGAUUUUCUGGUAGAGUCUGAGAGCGGUGAGUGUAAAUUUAUAAUAGGAUUAGAAGUCAUAGCUUUGAGUAAGGUAAAGAUGAAGUGUUAAUAAAAGGAAUUAAAGAAAGUAUAUAGAAAUAAUUUUAUAUAAUAAUACAAGGUAAUGUCAUGCAUGAUGCAAUAUAAAGUAAUUUAAUUUGGAUGUCACUUGUCUCACUCUUGAGAUGUUAUGUAGAGUUGAAAGAUAAAAUUUGAAGUUAAAAUUAAAUAUAAACAUUUUAAAUAUAAUUUCGACCAUCGUUAAAGAAUUUAUUAGCUUUGAAUCCCAUAUGAUGGAUUGAUGGCUAAGAGUGUUCAUCACCCUAGGUGUGGGGCUGAGUUUGAGUCGCGCUUGUUGUUCGGGUUUUACCCUAUUAUUGUAAUUCACCAAAAAAAAAUCUAUCAACUUUCAAUGGAUUAGAUUUUGAAAACUUCUCAAAAAAAUGAACUAGACCUCUCCUCAACAAAUUUAAAUAUAAAAAGUAACUUUGAGUAAAAAGCAUGAACACAUGUAAAUUUUCCAAAAAUAUAUAUAUAAUGCAAUGCCGCAUAAAGAGACAAUAAAAUUAUUUUUUAUUUGGAAUAUUUUGAAUACUAUUUGGAAGUAAAUUGAAAACAAUUUAUUAAGUGAUCAAUUCGAUAAAAAUUGAAGUAAGGAAUAAAUUGUAAAAUUUGUAAAAUUCCAAAUGUUAAAGUUUGAUUAGUGAAAUCUAAAAGUUUGGUGUUGUACUAAAUUAUUUGCUUAUGAAAUAUGAAAAUUGAAAGAUUGGGCAUAAAAUAGUAAAGUUUGAAAUUAUAGGGAUUAAAUUGUGAAGAUUCCAAAACACGAGAUUUAGAACUAAUUUAUAUGGGAUGAGAAUUUACAAUUCCAAAAAUAAAAUAUGAAAGUUUAAUGGUUCAAAAAUCAUGGACUAAUUUGUGGAAAAUUUGAUAAGAUUUUAAUAGUAGGAAUUAAAUUAUAAAAUCUAGAAAUUUUGAAAAAAAGAAAGAAGAGAGAGACUGUUUUGCAAAACUAGGCAAACUGGGAUUUAAGGCUGAAUUGAAAAAAAAUGACUUCCAAGGACUAAAUUGUAAAAUAGUGUAAAUUUGAGAGUUUGGGACUAAAUCGUAAAAAAUAUGUAACUAUAAUUUUAAGGGUUGUUUAGUAAAUUUGGAAAAAUAUAGGAGUGAAAAUGAGCAUAUUAGUUACAUAAGUGUUCAAAUGUAAUAUUUGAAAAUUUUACUAAAUUAAGUGUAUUAAACUAAAAUAAUUGAGUAAAAAAAAUUGAAACUUGAAUUAGUAAAGAUUAGAUACAUUAAAGUGAAGAGAAUUAUAUUAUGAAGUAUAUCUUAAAAAUUAUAUUGCAAUAGGUAUGAGGUUCUGCUACAUGUGUUUCAAAGUUUCAAUACAUUAGUAAUCUUGUAUUGGUUUUGAUAUUAUGAAUGAGGUAUUGAUAACUUUGUUCUUAAAAUCGUAAAUUCGCCUGAAAAUACCCUGGAAAAAGGAUUUUGGUUUCUCUAAUUAAAAUUUAAAUAAUAUACAAUUUUAGAAAGAGAUUUAAUAUCAUAUGGAAUCUAGGUAACGUUAGAAAAGUAAGCAAGGGUUAGGGACUGAAACUAAAAAUUUUAAUGUGACAUUCCUUGUCCGUAUCUGUUAAUGAGUUAGGUAAGAGGUGUUACAUCAUCGGAAGGUAAGAGGUGUUACAUCAUCGGAACAUCCGAAGUAUAGCAUGCAUUCCAUGCCUUAUCAGUAUAAUCUUGUACAUUAAUCUUAUGGCAUGCCAACCAUACCAGAGACAAUUACUAAGGUAGCAAUAUUCCAAAUACAUAUUUAUAUUCAUGAUCACUUACCAUAGUUUCAUAUAAUACUCAUUUAUGCUAUGCUCAUCUCAAUUAAAUUCAUAACAUUUCAUAUCAUUAUAUACAAACCAAAUCAUGAGACAAGUAGAAUACUUACCUCAAGCAAGCUAGUUUUUAACAGUAUAUAUAUAUAUAUAUAUAUAUUGAAUUCAAAUCAUGAAACUACAACUCGUAUUAGCUACUCGUUUAUGACUUUCGCCUUUUCUUUCUCUCGAGACAGCUCGAUGUCGUCUUUAGCUACGUUUGAUAAUUCAAUUAUAAAAAUGGUAUUAGUUUCACUCAAACUCAUGAAAAAUAUAUAAUCAAAUAUAUUUUCAUUUUAUUCAUUUUAGUCCUUAUAUCCCAAUUGUUCUUAUUUUUCGAUAGUUAACAUAAAAACAAAAUCCGAUUUCAUAUCCUUCCAUUAGUGACCUUGUAUUUUUAAUCUAUACCAUAAGUUUAUAAUAGCUUUCAAUUUAUUCAAUUUUACCCCUAAUUUCACAAAAUUAUCUUUUAAGCUGAACUUAAUUUCCAACUUAAUCCUUAACAUAAUCUAAACUUACUAAGUAACGAUCUCUUCAAAUUCAAGCUUAAAAUCAUCAAUUAAACUUUAAUGGCAACUUUCUGAACAUCUAACAAUUGAAGAAAAAAUACAUGUGUUAGCUAAAUCAAGCUCCCGUGGUUCAAACUUUAUAAAAAUCUUAAGGAAAGAACUUAAUUUCGGCGAUUAAUUCUGGAUUAAAAUGGAAAAGAAAACAAAGAUGUUUUUCCUUCUUCUUUUCAGCUUUGGACGGCCAAACAAAAUGAGGAAGAUGAUAACUUCAUCUUUCUCUCCACUCUCUUAGUAUUUAUACUAUGAUUAAGCCCUUAAUUAGCUUAAUUAAUCACCAUUAGUGGUCAAGCUAAUUAAGAUAAGUGGAUGUAAUCAUACCAUUCCACCAUCAUAUUUUAAUAACUGUCAAUUAAUUCCAAGGCCCUCAAAUUAAUUAUUAAUUAAGUCCUCAAUCAUUUUUCUAAAUUAAAAUUUCAAUAGCGGUUGAACUUUUACAAAUUAGUCCUUGAACUUUAAUUAAUGAUUUUCUUGAUUAAAUUUCGUAAACAUUCUUUAAUAUAUUUUCAUACUAACUUCAUAAACCUUUCUAUUCAUGAUUCCACUAACUCAAUUUGCGGAAUUGGAUUUCAAAAUUGUAUUGUUUCGACGAUGUUUAAAAUCGGGUCAUUGCAAGUAAAUUAAAAGAAUAAAUAAUAUUUUGGGCAUAUGAAAGAUAUUUAUUGUGCUAAAAAACUAUAUUAGUUAGUUUAAAGACAAGAUAACACAUAUAAUUGACUUAAUAAAUGAAAAUGCCGAUAUAGGAGGGAGGGGUGGCAAACUAGUAUGGACCCAUUGAAUUUUUUUAUUUUGAUUUUGAUAAUUUAUUUAAACAAACUGAUCGAAAUUAUUGGACUAACAAAGCAGUGACUUGAUCAGUUCGAACUUUGAAAACCUUCUAUAAAGAACACAAGUGUCUAAACCCUAAUUCGAUUUUGAUGUCAACAUCAUCUCUCUACCAUGCUUCAAGAAAGUAGACAUCUUAUCGGUAUCAGGCAAGUUGUCUUUGAUUACAGGGACUGAUUUGAAAUUUUGGAUCCAUGAGCUCACUCGAGGGAACUUGUGUGGCUGAAAGAUUUCAAGCCCUAGUAUGUCUUCGAGAACCCCAAGCCAGAUAGCAACAAAGGAAAAUGCAAUGUCCACCAUGUUUAUCUCGUCUCCGCCGAAUAACUUUUUCACUCCGACCAGCGCAUGUUCUUCCAUGACUUCAAACAUUUCCAGCCACUCCUUCACUGCUGCCUGUUGUUCUUCGCCAUUGGCUCGAUAAAGCUUUAACAUUAAAUAACCCUGUUUUAAACAGAGAUAUGGGAUUUCUAGUAUCAGGCAUCAAAAGUGUUAUGUACAAUAAUGAUUUAACAUGUGACCCAAUGUGAGAAUUGUUGCCAAGUUCAGGCGUCAAAUAAUGAUUUAACCCAUUUAAAAAUGUAAAUAUAAUCGUAAACAUGAUUUUUUGGGUUAAAUUCAAGUUCAUAACUCAUUUUUUUCGUUAUAUGACUACCAAAUGAAUAACUAUUUUUUUAUUUCAAAAUAUCACACCAAAAAAUUUAAUAAAAAAAUUAACUGUGUUAACAAUUGAGUUCGGGUUUAGAGUAAAAAAAUUACCAAUUUUAUAUGUCAAUGACAUGAAAAAAAUUACUAAAAAUAUUAUUAAAUAAUUAUUAAAAAAAUUACAUUUUAUUCAUUUUAGUCCUUAUAUCCAAAAUGUUCUUAUUUUUCGAUAGUUAACAUAAAAACAAAAUCUGAUUUCAUAUCCUUCCAUUAGUGACCUUGUAUUUUUAAUCUAUACCAUAAGUUUAUAAUAGCUUUCACUUUAUUCAAUUUUACCCCUAAUUUCACAAAAUUAUCUUUUAAGCUGAACUUAAUUUCCAACUUAAUCCUUAACAUAAUCUAAACUUACUAAUUAACGAUCUCUUCAAAUUCAAGCUUUGUCUAAAGUAACAAUGGUGUGUGUUUUUUUCAUGACAUAAUUCUAAAUUUCACCUUCAAUAUUUAUAUUUUUUUUAACUAAAAGUUAGAAUUUGUCACUAAGACUUUUUCAUACAAAGAUGAAGUAUUAUAAAAGAUUUUAUAUAAUAAUAUAAGGUAAUGUGAUGCAUGAUGCAUCUUUAUUAAUUGUUUUUUUUUUUAAUUUGAAUAAAUGUUUUUAGAAAUAAAUUAGUGGUUGGUUGGAUUGAUUAGGUCAUUAGUUCGUCGAUUUGAUAAGUUCGAUAAAGAUAUAAUAAUAAAUUCAUAAAAAAGAAUAUUUAAGAAAUCCAGUUCAACCGCCAAUUUAAUUGAUUUUUUAACCGGUUCAAUCGAUUCGAUUUUUUUUUUCGAAUCUAUAUUUCGACUUGUUUCCAGUCCAACCGAACAAUCCAAUCCUAUUUAAACACAAGUAAAAACCCCAUAUAAAAUUUUGAACCCCAUAUACAAUUGAAUAUAUAUGUUUUUUUUUUAUAAUUAAGGUAUCAUAUAUAUUUAUUUUACCCAUGUGUUGAUUUGAUGAUCAGGGUGUUCACCGUCUCAGAUGUGAUAUGGGCUCAAGUCACACAAAUCGCAUUGGUAUUAGGACUUUGCUGUCCUCUUAUAAUUCACCAAAAAAAGAUAAUUUAUUUUUGAUGUUUUAGCAAACGUGUCAUCAUGUCGAGGGAGCAUUUGACUAUAAAAUCAAACCGUGCUAAUGUGUCGAUAUGUAAAAAGUGAAAAAUAUUUUAGAAUUGUUUUAGAACUAACUACUAGUUAAAUUAUUCGAAAAUUCUAUUUUAUUAUAUAUUAUAUGUGUAUGUAUGCUAACAUAUAUAAUAAACAAAAAUAAAAUAAAAUAAGAUUACUUCUUUUUUCAUGUUUCUUACUCAUUGAAUUCUGUAAUAAUCCGGUUUUUUGUAGUGUCGGAAACUGAAAUAUCGACACUUCAUUUCCGUAAAUCAAAUUCGUAAAAUUCAUUAUUAAAUCACACCCAACAAUUUUGAGACCUUGAGAAUGUUUUUUUUAACUUUUGAAAUCUGCAUGUUAAAUAGUUGUUUCUUCAUGCGGAAGACCGUCAAAGUGGUAAAGGCAAGGAGCAAGCUUGUGCUUGCGACAGCAACUUGGGGAAGAUUUCGUCAAGUUUCCUUGAAAUUUACACACUUACUCGUUUACUUAAUUGCCAGGUUGAAGUAAACUGGUUGCUGACUUCAAUUAAGUUAUCUGAAUUUUAUGAAUAAACUGUGAAUUAGCUGCUGUUGGAAAUUUGAAGAAAUGGUUGUCCAAAAUCACUGUUGUUUUCAUCUGACAUAUGAAGAAAUGAUUGUCUAAAAUGGCUGCUGUUUCCAGAACUUAUUAUGUUUGACAUUUAAGAAAUGGUUGUUCAAAACGACCGUCGUUUUCAUAAUUUAUUAUUUCUGACAUAUGAAGAAAUGGUUGUCUACAAUGGCUCUUGUUCGGUUUUGGUGUGAGUUUAAUUCAUUUCUUUCUUGAAUGGUUGGUUGUAUUCUUAUUUUGGUAAGUGAGUGAAUAAAAUUCGAUUCGAUUUUAAAAUUUUAAUAAAAAAUUUAAAAAUUAAAUUAAAUAGUUCGAAUUAAUCGAGUUAUUUGGAUAAACUCGAAUAAAAAAUUAAAUUUUUUAGUUUAAUUCGAAUAUGAAUUAUACAAUUCGAGUUAUCUAAAAAUCUAAAUACAAAAGGACAAAAUUACGUCGUUUUGAUAAAUAUUUACUUCCUCUAAAGUUCUUAUCAAUUUAUUUGUAAUGUUUAAUUGAAUUUUUGAGUUUACAAGUCGGGAAUUUGAAGGUGAAUAUGUGACAACCUGUUGAUACGAUUACAAAUGUGAUAUGAAAGGAUUAUAUUCUUAUAAUAUAAGUUAACAUAUUAAACUGCUUACGAACUUUUGAUUUUUAUUUAUGUCCUCAAAUAAUUUAUGUUUUGUUAUAAUAAUAGUUAUAGAAAUGUCACUGAGUUGAUUACUCGGCAUUGCAGGUUAGGUUCAAUUGUGUGCACUCAUUGUUAUCAGCAUCCAGCAGAAAAUCUCACACUCAUCGAGUUGGUGAAACUCUUACUAUUUUGGCUGGCAUGUACUUCUAGGUUUUUAUGUUAUAUUAAGCUUAGUUAGAGAAUUAUUUCAUACUUUGAGACGUAUAAAUUGACAAGUUAAUUAAUGACUUUGAAUCAUCUUACUAUAAACAAGGAGUCACUCGAAAAUUAAUUAAUGACUUUGAAUUAUUAUUUUAUUAAAUAAUUGAAUUUCGAGGUGAAAUUUUAUUACUAGGUCAUCGUGGUUUCAUAAGGACAAGUUAAUUAAAUUAAUUUGUUCAUAGAUUUUUAUCGGUAAAGUUGUCAUGAGUUUAACGAAAUUAGAAUUGAGUUGAGAAAAUAAUUUAGUUAAUUUAAUUAAUUAAAAGAAUAAAAAAUAUUUCGAGCAUAAAAAAUAAUUAUUGGAAUAAAAAUUAUAUGAGUUGGUUUAAAAACAAAACAACCCAUAUAAUUAACCCGAUAAAUAAAAAAUGCCCAAAUAGACCCGAUAUAGGAGGGAGGGGAUGCAAACCAGUAUGAACCCACUGAACUAGAUUUUUAUUGUUUUUUAGUCUUGAUGAUAUAUUUAAACGAACUAAACAGACCAAUUGAAACUAUUAGACCAACAAAUCGAUAACUUGAUAUUCUGAAAACGUUCGAUAAAGAACAUAAGUGUUCAGAUCCUCUCAAAUAUUGGAUUACAUCUUCAACCUUAUGUGGAACAUUUAACACUUCCAUGGGAGAAAGAGAAAAUAUAAUCAAUGUUCCAAACCCUAAUUCGAUUUUGAUGUCAACAGCAUCUCUUUACGACGCUUCAAGUAAGCAACUAUCUUAUCGGUAUUAGGCAAGUUGUAUUUGAUUAUAGGGACUGAUUUGAAAUUUUGGAUCCACGAGCUCACUCGAGGGAAUUUGUGUGGCUCAAAGACUUUAAGCCCUGCUGCGUCUUCGAUAACCCCGAGCCAGUGAGCAAUCAUGCAAAAUGCAAUGUCCACCAUGUUUAUCUCGUCUCCACCGCAGAAUUUUUUCCCUCCAAUUAGCACAUGUUCUUCCAUGGCUUCCAGCAUUUCCAACCACUCCUUCACUACCGCCUGUUGUUCUUCAUCUUCAGUUCGAUAAAGCUUUGCUAUUAUAGGACUCUGUUUUAAACAGAGAUUCUAGUAUCAGCCAUCAAAAUUUAUGUACGAAAAAAAUUUUCAAACUACAAAGAGCUAGAAUCUUAAUUUCAACUAGGUUAAAAUAUGUUACAAGUACUUGUAUUCUUUGUAUGUUUGCAAUUUAGUCCUCCUAUUUUUUAUUUCAAGAAAUUUAAUCCCACUACUGUUAAAGUUAAAAAGGGUUAAAUCACUUUACAGGUCUGAAACUUAACAACUACUCCCACAUUGGGGCUUGAACUUUUUUGUUCAACCUAGUCCCUAAACUUGGCGAUUGUUCUCAAGGUAUGGCCUAGACUAUUUUUUGUUCAAGUUAAUCCCUAAACUUGACAAUUGUUCUCACAUUGAGGUUUGAACUUUUUCUAGGUCCAAGUUAGACAUUGUUUGAUAAACCACUAAAACAAUUAAAUCAAUUAAAAACUAAUAUUUUCAAUGAUUAGUAUUUUACACAUGUUUGAUAAUCUAAAAUAAAAAAUAAUCCAAUAGAAUUUUUUUCUAUAAAAAAGUGUGGAAAAUGAUGAGUAAAUAAAAUUUAAUUAUAUUUUCAAUAAACUCAAUUUUAUUUUAUUUAUUUUAAUAUUAUGUUAUCCUAUAAAAACUAAAUGUUUAAAAAUAUAAAAAGACAAAAAUAUCUAUAUAAUCUUAUAAGUUACUUAGUAGAUUAAAUAUUUUUUUAGUAAUUUCCUAAAUUGGGACAUAGUUGGUGGGUGACACCGAUUCAGUAAAAAGCUUAAUAAAUAACUAGAAAUUCUAUCACACACGUAUGCAUGUGAAUAUCUCAAAUUUCAAAUGCAAAUGUAUGUUUAAGAAAUUAGCGUACAAUAAAUAAUGAAAUAUAUGAUUUGAAACUAAUUAAUAAUAACAUGUGAAACAUAUAUGAUGGUAAAAUGAAAAAAUAGAUUAAAAGUUGUUUAUCAUUUUGUUGUCUUCAAUCUUGAGUCAGUGUCGAGUUAACUUGUGACAUCAACUCAGUUAAAAGCUUUAUUAAUAUUAACUAUAUAUACAACUGGUGGAGGUAAUAAAAUGUGCGUAAUAAAAUAAAAAUGUAUAAAAAUAUCAAAAUAAAACUUUAGUUGAAUGGUAAAUUAAAAACUUUAAUAGUACAAUUGGCAUGGGUUUAAUUCCUACCAUUUUUUAAAGUGACAAGACUAAAUUAACCUUGAAUAAUAUUACUUAUUUUAAUUACGUAAAGGCCUUCUCGUAAUUUCCUAACCGAGUUGGUGUCUGGUUGACUUGUGACACCAACUUAGUCAGUGCUUUAUUAAUACUAGAAAUCCUAUCACACGCGUAUGCGUGUGGAAACUACAAAUUUAGAACACAAAUGUGUGUUUAAAAAUAACAUACAAUAAAUAAUAAAACGUAUAGGUUGACACUAAAUAAUAAUAACACGUAAAAUUUGAAGAUAUUAAAAUGAAAAUGAAUAGAUUAAAAUUGUUUAUCAUGAUGUUAUCAUCAAUACAACACUUAAAAAAUAAUAUUGACUAUUUAUUCAAAAAAUAUUGACUAUUGAUAUAGAUAAAAUAAAUAUAAAUAAAAAAUCCAUAAAUGGGAAAAUUGCCAUAUGCAUCAAAUAAAUAAAUAAAGGUUUAAUUCAAAAUUAGUAUCUAAAGUAUGUCAAUUUUCUCAUUUUAAGUACCUAAAUUUUUCGGUAAAAAAUAUGCUUAAACUAUUAAAUUCGUUAGAUUUUAUCUAAAAAGUGUACGAUGCCAAUAAAAUUAACCGUUUAAAUAUCAUUUUUGCAAAAAAAAAAAAACUCUUAAGCACCUAAGUGGUAAAUACGAUAUAGUUUGAGGAUUAAUUUUGCAUUUAAGCCAAAAAAAAAGAAAAGAAAAGGAUUUUACCUUGUCAUCGGCAAAUUUGAUCCAAAACAGAGCAACGGCUCUGUCAUAGGGAUCAGCCGGCAGCAAGGGAUUUUGCGGCCAAAUUUCAUCGACAUAUCUAAGGAUGACGGUGGAUUCGCAGACCGGUUUUCCGUCAUGAACGAGCACCGGGACUUUCUUAUGAAUUGGAUUAUAUUGAAGAAGCAAAGGACUCUUGUUGGAGAGAUCUUCUUCGAUGUAUUCGUAAGGUAUGCCUUUGAGUUUCAGAGCCCAAAUUACUCUGAAAACGUACGGACUAAGCCAAGCUCCGAACAGUUUCACGACCGCCAUGGUUGGGAGAUUAGUCGAUUUUCUGGUAGAUCCUGAGAGCGGUGAGUGUAAAUUUAUAAUAGGAUUAGUAGUCAAAGCUUUGAUUAAGGUAAAGAUGAAGUGUUAAUAAAAGGAAUUAAACAAAGGUGGAUAGAAAUACUUUUAUAUAAUAAUAUAAGGUAAUGUCAUGCAUGAUGCAACUUUAUUACUUGGUUUUUGUAAUUUGAAUUAAUAUUUUUAGAAUAUGUGUUUAAAUUUGUCGAUUUGAUAAAUGUGAUUGUUCAAUAAAAAUAAAAUAAAUUCAUUAAAAAUAUUUAAAAAUUCAAUUCAAUUCUCAAUUCAAUUAAUUUUUUAAUCGGUUUAAACUGUUCAAUACUCUUUUUCGAACAAAUAAAUUCGACCAACCGGAAAAUAUGUUUUUUCUUAUAUAGUUAAUGUCUCCUAUAUAUUUGUUUGGUAAACUAUAAAAAUAGUUAUUUUUGUUUGUUUUAGAUUACAUUUUAGUCAGUUAUGUUUAAAAUGUUACGUUGUAAUCACUUACAUUAUAGUUUUGAUACGAAACGGUCACUCUGUCGUUAACCUUCGUUACCUCCCUAAUGGCAAUCCUACGUGGCAGUCCAAAUGGGUUUUAAAUGUCGACUUGGAUGUCCAACUGGGACAAUGAUAGGUUUUUAAUUAAUUACACCUUGAACUGGAAAAGAAAAACCGGCCAUCUCCUUUUUCUUUUAGUUUUCUUUUCCAUUUUGACUGAAAAAACUAUUAUUAUCCCAGUUAGAUAUCCAAAUUAGAAUUUAGAACCCAUCUGGAUUGCCAUAUAGGAUUGUCAUUAGGGAGGUAAUGGAGCUUAAUGGCAAAGUGAUUACUUCGUAACAAAACAAUAAGUGACUAAAACGUAACAUUUCAAACAUAAUCAACUAAAAUAUAAUCUGGGACAAAUAAAAAUAACUAUUUUUAUAGUUUAUCCAUAUUUGUUUUGCAGUUUAUAAAGAUGAUUUGUGAUUGUUCUUUUCAAUAAUGCCGUUUUGAAAAUUUUGACUCGAUUUUUUUAUUAAAAGUAUAAUAUAACUUACCAUUACACUUAAUGAUUAGACAAGAAAAAUUUUUAAGUACAAAAACGAUAUAUAUAUAUAUAUAUAUAUAUAAACAUUGCUGUAUAUCAUGAUUAGUGAAUAUAAUAUAUUAAAUCUUUUAGGUAUUUAAAAUUAUCUAAUUUAAAUACAGCCUAAACUCUAUCUGGUAUGUUCGAUGUUUUACGUAAGCAAACAUGUCAUUAUGUUUGAUUCCAAGAACUUGCUAGAAAUUUUUGAGCCAUUGUGAAUAUAUUUAUACACUAAUAGUAAUUAUAUCGAAUGCGUAUGAAAAUUAUAAAUUUAAAAUAUAUAUGUGGGAGCUUUUAGGUAGCCUGCUUCUUUAUCACAAUCGAGAACUUGAUAAAAUGAUGAUAUUCACUGAUAAUUUAGACACGGGCAAUUGAUAAUAUCAAAUUCUUCAAAUUUUAAAGCAUAUUGAAUAACGGAGGUUAAGACGUGUUCAUGAGAAAGAGAAUAAAGAUGCAUAUUUCCUAGCUAAAAUAGCUUUAGACAAGAAUGAAGGUGUUCAGGUUUUCGAUGAAGCUCCUGGGGAGCUCAUAGCUUAAAAUAUUUGAUUUAGCAAUUUGAUUUUGUUUUCAUAACUAAUUAUUGAAUUGAGAGUAUUUAGUCAUUCCCGUGACUUUUUCUUAGCUAAGAGAAUGAAUAGUUGUCGUUUAUUUUGAAGUGAUCAUAUUUUUACAAUAGUUAUUAUUUAUUUUUCUAAUUUCAAGUUUAAAUUUGUACUAACUAUUCUUUUGUGUGUGUGUGUGUGUGUGUGUGAGAGAGAGAGAGAUAAAAAAAUUACAUCAAAUUUCCUUGAAGAAAAGCUUGGCUACUUUUAUACGUUGCAACAUCGCUAAGACUGCAUCAGGAGGGUUCUCGUAAAUAUGUAAACUUAUCUUCCAUUCUAGACUCAUCUUUGCUAAGCAACCGGCCACUAAAUUAGCUUCUCUAGGAACAUAUCGAAUCCACCACUGCCCUUCAGAUUCUAAAAUUCGUUUAACUCUCCUGAGCAUAGUAACUCUUGAGUUGUCCCCCCACUCUCUUGUAGGGCUUUGACCACCAUCAGAUUAUCAGUUUCAACUAUUCUUUAUUUUAUGUCUAACUAUUAUAAAACAUAUAUAAUAAAUAAGUAUUUUCCUUGUGUUCUUACACUAAUAAUCAAACGAAACAUUAGUAUUAUUUUAUCCCACAUCACUUAGAUAAGGGUUUUGAACUUUGUUUAACUAUUAAUGAACACUUCCAUAGGAGACAAUACAGUCAAUGUUCCAAACCCUAAUUUGAUUUUGAUGUCAACAACAUCUCUCUACGACGCUUCAACAAAGCUAACAUCUUAUCAAUAUCAGGCAAGUUGUCUUUGAUUACAGGGACUUAUUUGAAAAUUUGGAUCCCUGAGCUCACUCGAGGGAACUUGUGUGGCUCGAAGAUUUUAAGCCCUGCAAAGUCUUCGAUAAACCCGAGCCAGUGAGCAACCAUGCAAAAUGCAAUGUCCACCAUGUUUAUCUCGUCUCCGCUGAAGAAUUUUUUUCCCUCCGAUCAAUACAUGUUCUUCCAUGGCUUCCAACAUUUCUAACCACUCCUUCACUACCGCCUCCUGUUUUUCACUUUCGGUCUAAUAAAGCUUUGAGAGUAAAUGACUCUAUUUUAAGCAGAGAUUCUAGUAUCAGUCAUAAAAUGUAACACCCCCUAACCCCGAACUGUCGCCGGAACAAGGCUGCGAGGCAUUACCAAAUAUAUCAGACAACUUACGAAUAAUUCAUAAAUAAAAUAACAUUCAUAAUAUAAUUGAAUAACUAAGUCCCUGUAAUGAACUUUCGAAGUCUAAAACAUGUAUUAAAAGUGAAAUGGGACUCGUUCAAGUACUUCAAAUUUUUUUUUAUAAAUUUCGACAGCAUUUCUACUUAUUUUCUCAUAAAAUCCCCUACAAUUAAAAUCGUAUCAUUUCCAACAUAACCAAUUCAACCAAUUCAUUUCACAUUCUCAUUUUCUAUUCUAAAUACCUUCUAAUCAAACUCAAUCAAUAUAAUAUCAAUUUAAAUUUAUCAAUGUACUAAUUAAAUUGAAAUGGAUAAACUUCUUUCAUUAUAAUUCUUAGAUUUAUAAUACUAACAUUUUUAACCAUUCAUAUUCAAAACAUAAUAACCUUUAUACACAUCCUAUGUACAUGCCACAUUACCAAAAGAAAAUAUACAUCACCAAAAUUUUGCUGAAGUCGGGUCUGGCUUUGGAUGCUGGUUCAAUACUUGACUUCUACAACCUGUGCACGGAAACAACCGUACGCUGAGUAUGCAUAUACUCAGUGGUAUCACUAUAAUUCAAUUUAUAAUUAAAUACAUUAAAUCACACACAUACUUAUUCAUUACAAUUAUCAUUAAUUAAUGAACAAUUCAAUCUUUUUAUAUUAUCAAUUGUUUAAAUAUAUAUGUACCAUUCUUAUUUCUUUAUUUCAAUUCUUGCCUUUCACAUAUACUAUAUCAUUCAAGUUUAGUUUUAUCAGUAAAUUUAUUUCAUUUGUCCCUAUUAACUUGACUCGGACUCAGCGGAUACACGGAUUCCAGCCAACACACCAAUACGGCACAUAGUGCCUAAAACGGUACAUAGUACCUGAUCAGUAAUCAGUAAUCAGUAACGAUAGCAGUAACAGUAACAGUAACAGUGUUCAACACACAAAGUGCUGAAUCUGUAACAGUAACGGUAACAGUAUUCGACACACAAAGUAUCGAAUCAGUAACAGUAACAGUAGUCGGCACAUAAGUGCCUGAUCAGUAAGUCGGCAAAAACCCAUACUCUUCCAUAUCCUAUGGCAUGCCACCUAUAUCUGACUAGCCCGACUAGUUAAUAGGGUAUUUAAUUCACUUUUCAGUACAAUUUCCAUCUUAGUUUAGUAUCAAUUAAAAUUUCUUAUUUUGAUCAGUAUCACAGUCAGGGAUUUAAAUUGCGGUCGCGGUCGCGUUUUCAGUCGCAUUGCGUUCAUCGCGGUUGCGGACAUAACGGAUGCUAUUGCGGUCAUUGCGGCUAUCGCGGUCGUGAAUUUUAAAAAAAAAUUCACACAACUUAUUGUAAAAUAUAAUAGCGGUUUCAGUAGUAGCGGUUUCGGACGAUGCCGCUACCGCUAUAUAACGGCCGCUAUUUCUGUAACGGACCGCUAUUUAAAUCCCUGAUCACAGUAUUGCAGUAAUUCAUUACUUCGGUAAUUUCACAGUUCAAUGCAGUACACUUAACAAUAUUCAGUAACUUCACAAUUCAAUUCAGUAUUCAAAACAAAAUUCAGUAUUCCAUAAUUCAGUUUCGUAUCAGUCUCAAUUUCAAAUCCAAUCAUAAAUUUUCAUUUUACUAAACACUUACCUUAAAAUACUUACCACACAUAAUUAGUAAAUUAAACACAUAAUAAUGAUAAAGUUUGAAUUAUAGUGAUAGAAACCAGAAUUCUCUUCGGAUUUAAUCCUCGACGAUCUUUUCUUUUCCUUUUUGGGCCGAUGCUUCAGGCUCGAUAUUAGCUAUGAACAAUUAAAAUAAUUUUACAAUCAUUAACACAACACAAUUUAUUUGCUAAAAUUUUUAUCUAACUUUUACUUUAAUUUCAAUUUAAUCCUAACUAAACCUAUAUAUUUUUCUUUCUCAAUUCAUACCUUUUUGCUACUCAAUUUCUUGCCAAACUCACAUUUAACUAUCUAAUUUUUAUCAUAUUUUCAUAAUUUCAAAUUUAUUUCAAUUUAAUCCCGAAAACUCAAAACUUAUGGCUUAGUUUACAAUUCAAUCCUUUAUUCAAUUCCAAUCAAAAUUUCUAUCAAAUAAAUCCCCGAUUCCAUCAUUUAUUCAACAUGAACCCUAUUAAAAAAUCUAUUAACUUUCAAAAUUUCAACUUAAAUCCAAGAGUAUUUCACUCUAGGAUUCCAAAAACAUCAAAUUUGUAAGAAAAAUGACUUGAUUAAACUUACCCAUUAAACUUCAAGCUUCAAAUCCCUAGAUAUUUCCCUUUUAUUUUUCUUUCCUAUUGUUUCUUCUCCUGUUCGAAUGGCUUUUGCUGUUCUUUUGUUUCUUUUUCUUCUUUUUUUCUUUUAUUUCUUUAGUUUCUUUUAUUUACUUUAUUUUAUUUACUUAAUAAUUAAUAUAAUAUCUUAUGCUUAAAUGUUAAGUAAACCAAUUAUUUAAUUACAUUUGUACAUAUUAUAUUAUUACACUUGUAUAAAUUUUGUACCAUAUAUUUGUCAAUUAUCUUAUUUAUUUAAUAAAAAUCUAUUUAACAACAAAUAAUAAUAUUACAAAUGUACGUAUAUAUUUUAUUCAUAAAUGUACAGUAUCAUCUAUACCAUACAUUUGUCAUCAUUUAUUUUAUUUAUCACAGAAAAAUCUUAUAAUUUAAUUAAUACAAUUAAUAAUUAAUUAUAAAAUAUCUUCAUACUUAAAUUUUAAGUAAUUUAGGUGUUUAGUUUACAAAUGUACAAAUAUAAUUUUUACACAUGUAUAUUUUAUUACCAUACAAUUGUCUACUAUUUACUUUACUUAAUAAUAAUAAUAAUAAUAAUAAUAAUAAUAAUAAUAAUAAUAAUAAUAAUAUAAAACCAUAAUAAUGGUUAAUAAUUAUAAUAAUUAUAUAUAUAAUAUUUAUGUAGAACUUAAAUAAAAUCUUAGAUUUUAAUGCAUAUAUGCCGCUUCAUUUCAUAUAAAUGACUUAAUUUUCAUUUUAGCCUUUUUUACUUUCUUUUAAUCUAUAAUUAAGAUUUCAUUCUUUAUUCAAUUUAAUCCUUUUUCCUAAUUACUUUAAAUUAGGCUAAAUUCACUAAAUAAAAAUUUAAAUAAACACACUAUUAGACUCAUAAUUACUCCUAAUAAUUAUUUACUAACUCAGUUUACUAAGACGGAGGCCCGAUAACACACUUUUUCGAUGCCCACGGAUUUUGGGUCGUUACAUAAAAAUUUAUUUACCAUAAAAAAAAUCCAAGCUACAAAGUGCUAAAAUCUCAAUUUCAACUAGGUUAAAAUAUGCUACAAGUCUUUGUAUUCUUUGUAUGUUCAAUUUAGUCCUCCUAUUUUUUUGUUUCAAGAAAUUUAAUCCCCUACUGUUAAAGUUUAAAAGGGUUAAAUCACUUUACGAGGCUAAAACUUAGCAACUACUCCCACAUUGGGGCCUGAACCAUUUUUUUGUUCAAAUUAGUUCUUGAACUUGGCGACUGUUCUCACGGUAUGGCCUAAACUAUUUUUUGUUUAAGUUAAUCCUUGAAGUUGACAAUUAUUCCGACAUUGAAGCUUGGAUUUUAUAUUUUUUAUUACGGUGCUAAAGCUUUGCUUCAUUUUUUAAAACUAAGGGUGUUCAUGGGUUGGGCGACCCAACCCGAAGGCCUGCCUGAAAAGUGAGAGAGUUUAGGCAGAAAUAUAAGCCCAAAAUAGGUUUGGACAAAAAUUAAGGCUUGUUUAGGCAAAAAAAUGUGUCGAAACUGGAGUAAGGUUUUUUUGACCUGGACCCAGCUCGAAUUUGCAAAAAAAAAAAAAACUUUUUCUUGUUGUUUUCCACUAUUUUGUUGUCAUUUCACUAUUAUGUUGUUAUUAUUUGGAUAUUGUAUAACUCUUAUUUUAUUGUCAAUUUUGUUACUAUUUUAGAGACAUUUGCUUGUUAAGUUGCACCUAUCUUAGUUUUAUUUAAGUAUAAAGGUUUUUAUUUUAAUUUAUUUUCAAUUUGUUAGGAAAUAUUUGUUUUAAUGUUUUAAGUGUAUUUGGUGUAUUAUAUUUUUAAAAUUUUUUAUAUAAAAAAUAAAAUACGGGUGGGCCAAACCAAACCUAUCAAUUGGGCCUAAAAAUUUGUUAAUGCCUGACCUGAUCCGACCCGUAGACACCUCUAUUUUAAACCAUCUUCUUUGCUGACUUAGGCAAGUAAAUGGAUUUAUUUAAGCGAGGAGAUAGAAAGAAAAAAAUAAUCCGACAAAUAAAAUAAAAAAAUAUUGGUUGCAAAGAGAAACAUAAUAUAAAGAAUAUAAAUAUGAAAUUCUUUAUAACUUGUUAAAGAAAUUCCGGAUCAACGUAAUGAUAAAAGAAUGAUAAUAACAGAUUCAACCCCUAUACUUUAUCAAUAUAUCUAAUAUGGUAUCUUUACUUUUAAAAUAUAUUGCCAUAUAUCCUUCUAAUGGAGUUAAAAUCUUACAUCGCUUUGAAUGCAACCAAUUGUAUGCUGCCAUGUGGCACUAUUAGUUUGAAAAAUUUUAAUCAGAGUCAAGGGAUUUGAAAAUAGUUAUUCCAAAAAUUGUUUUAAAAGGCAAAAAGAAGAAAGAAAACACUAAGACCAACCUGAGCCCAGCAAAAUUUAGCUUUCGGAGAGAUGGCUGAGUGGUUCAUAGCUCCGGUUAUGAAAACCGGUACAGUUCGAAACAAAUAAUUAUCGAAGGUUUGAAUCCCUCUCUCUUCUUUGCUCGAUGAAUAGGUUUGUAAUUAAUUGGAUUUAGUCACAACUGUACUGAGAUCGAUUCAACUAAAAAUUGAUGAUUUGAUUGGUUUAAUUGCCAAUUCGAUUGUUAUAAUAUUAAUCCAAAAUAGUCAAUAAAAUAUUUUUAUUCUAGGAUAAAUAUACAUUUUGAUAUUUGAACUUGAUUUCAAGGUUCAAAUUGGUACUUAAAGUUUAGGGUUUAAAUAAGAGGAUAAUACACUUCAACACACUCAAACCCACGCGAUUUUAGACUCUUAAAAAUUAACAAUUCAUUUUAAUUAAUUUAGUUCUUUAACCUAAAACUUUGAAGUUUGGCUCUCAAUAAUUUAUAUUUUAUGCUAAUCGUUUUAAUUAAAAUAUUGUAAUUUCAAUUUUUUUUCGAAGUGAGCAAUCAAUCAAUUCAAUCCAAUCCAAAGAUUUAACAAACUCUUUUACGAAUCAAAAUAAAACCAAAUUCUCUAUAAAACCAACAAAAUCAAAUUAGUUAUGAAUAAUUUACUGGAUUGGAUUACUAAAUAAUAUUGGCAAAAAAUACUAAAUAAUUUUUUUUUGUAAAUAUAAUUUUAAUAUUAAUUUUUUCUUUCACUCGUGGAUAUGACAAAAUUCGCUAUUUGAAAUUGAAAGUCGAUUAAUUUGAUUUUGGAUUUCCAAAUGAAAACAAAUUUAUCAGACCUACAACAUACUUGACAAAACUAAAAUUUACCCGUUGAAUUGCUUUAGUCAGUUUGACCCGACUAUUGCACACCCUUAGUUUUGCUCCCGGAAUGUAUGUAUACUUGUUAACAUCGGGACUGGUAUCAUUGGAAUGAAACGUGGAGAGCAAGCAAUGAAAUUUUCCGAAGAAAAGUGUCCUCUCCUACUUCCUUCUUCCUCGUACUUUCUUCUGAUGUUUCUUUCUUCUUUCUUUCUUUAUUUGCUUAAUUAUAUCUAUAUCUAUGCUUAGAAUUUUGAAAAUUGGGCAAAGCAUCAAUAUAUUCCUUUCUUUAUGAAGACCAAAACCAACACCCAAGAAAAGAAUCUACUAACCAUGAGGCCUGGAAUAAUUUCAUUUUUGUUUUUCUUCUUCUAAAUAAUUUCACAAUAUCUGAGAGUUGGAAAGAAAGAGAUGGAAAUUCAACAUUUCGGCCAUCACCAUCCUUUGGUCUUCAUCCAAGCUCACAGUGUUGCAAGCAAAGCAGCUCUUUGCCUUGUGUGUGAGAAACCUGUAAUGGGCUGGAGCUAUGGCUGCAAUCAAUGUGAGUUUUAUCUUCACAAGGGAUAUGCUGAGUUAGAGUUAGCCCCCAAGAUUCAGCAUCCCUUCCACCCCAAACACCCUCUCACUCUUCUUCCAAAAUCACCUUAUUCUGGGUUAGGAAUUUGUAAUUUUUGUCGUAAGAAAUUUGGGGGAUUUGUUUAUAAUUGUAAUGAUUGUAGUUUCGAUCUGCACAUCAAUUGUGCUUUGUUCAAUCAUCAUUUGCUGCAAAUUUUCCUAAUUCUUUGCACCCCCAUCCUUUGUUAUUCAUUCAAAAUCAUAACAACGAAGUCAUAACAACGAAGUCAAGUCUCAUUGCUCCGGAUGUCAGAAACCAAUAUCUGGUCCAAUUUACCACUGUUCAGAUUGCACAUAUCCUAUUUUUAACCUUCAUAAGGAAUGUGCUGAACUACCCCUUGAGAUUAAUCACCCCUACGAUCGUAGGCAUCCUCUUACUCUCUUGCCACAACCGCCUACUCAUCCCCAGAAAUGUAGUUGCUAUUUGUGCAUAAUCCAAUGGAAGGGGUUUGUUUAUUCCUGCUCUCUUUGCAACUUUGAUCUUUCACUAGAUGAUUUUCUUUUUUCACCACCAACAAUCACAGUUGCAAGUCAUGAACACCUGUGUAUGCUUGUAUCUAGAAAAAUGCCGUUUGUUUGUGAUUUUUGUGGCACUGACGGAGAUCACUCCCCCUAUUUCUGUUCUACAUGUCACCUCCUUGUCCAUAAGAAUUGCAUUUCAUUGCCACGCCACAUCAUGAUUGUUAAUGGGUAAUGUAGAAAUUAUUUACUGAUUGAAUAAUUUAGACGUUGAGUCAGUCAAAGUCUGUUGUAAGUCUGUUUUUAAUUCCAGUAGUGUUCCUUUUAUUUAGGAGAUGUAUCAAGAUUCUAUUAGAGUCCUAAUAUAUCUCUAAGUUGUUAGCUAUUUCAGUAUUUAAACUCUUCAUGGAAUAAAGUGUUUUGUAUCACUGUUAUCAAUUUCUCUAAAUUCCCAUUACUUCCGUUGCAGUUCUUUGUUCUGUUUUUUUUAGCAGCAGCCUUUUUUUUCAACAAUGAUAACACGACAUCGUCACACGAUUUCUCUUUCCUAUUCUCUUCGACAAAAUCAAGUUGAGGAUUGGAUGUGCAAAAUUUGUUACGAGGAAGUUGAUAUAAGGUAUGGAAAUUACCGUUGUCCUGCUUCUCGUUGCUGUUAUAUUGCUCAUGUACGUUGUGCAACUGAUAAAGUAAUUUGGGAUGGAAGAAUUAUGCCGGAAGGCUAUGAUGAGAGGUCCGAGGAAGUGGUGGAUUAACCUUGGAAUUUGAUUACUGAUGUUGUUGAACAAAUUCGUAUUGGAGAGCUAAUGGUAGAAAGUGAGAUCAAGCAUUCCUAUCAUUAUCAUAAUUUAAGACUCACUUUUAGUGGGAAGACCAAAGAUGAUGAUAGUUAGUGCGAUGGGUGCACGAGACCUAUAUCAACUCCUUUUUAUAGUUGUGAGCAAUGCAAGUUCUUUCUCCACAAAGAUUGCGCUGAAUUGCCUAAAAAAAUGCCACACCCAUUUCACAAGCAUUUGCUUACUCUCCCAAACUCACACAAUGAGUAUGAUUAUUCAUGGUGCGAUGCUUGCGGACGUGUGUAUCAAGGAUUUAGCUACAGAUGCUUCGAUUGCAGGUUCAAAAUUGACAUUCAAUGUAUGUUAUUGUCGGACACCUUGAAGCACCCAAGUCAUGAGCAUUCACUCUUUCUUGUCCACAACAAUGAGGGAACGAGUUGCAGUGCUUGUUUCAGAAAACUACAAUCAAGGGAUGUUGCAUAUAGAUGCAUGAAGCGCUGUGAUUUCAGUUUAGAUGUAGGUUGUGCAACACUACCACUUACUGCUUGGUACAAGUAUGACAGGCAUCCUCUUCCUUUGACUUUUUCUGAUGAUUCUGAGCCUUCUCAACUUUACUGCGAUCUCUGCGAGAAAGAAAGAGAGCCAAAUCGUUGGUUUUACUAUUGUGCUGAUUGUGAUAACUCUCUUCAUCUCAAUUGUGCUAUUGGGGAUAUCCCAUAUAUGAAGCUUGGGAACAAAAUCAAAAGUACAGAUCAUCGACAUCCAAUCACUGUUGUGAAAAACAUCUGGAAUUGCCCUCCAUGUAUGGUAUGUGGUGAGGUUUGCAAUGGGUAGACCCUAGAAUGUGAAGAAUCUGGAUGCAAUUUCACUGUCCAUUGGGGUUGCCGUUGGGGUCUCUGGGAAUCAUUUGAAUGAUAUUCCACUCAAGUUUAAGAAACAGAGAAGCCGCAACAUCACAGGUGUGUUGCGUAGGGUGGAAGGGUGUAGGAGAUUUGGUAAAAAUGGGUGAUGGCCUUAUUGUAAUCUGCAUUAUGUGAUGUUAAUGGUUGUUUGAGCAGUAGAAGGUUGUGUUAGAUGAAACAUGAUUUGUAACCACACAUCUUAAUCUUUCACUUUUCUAUUUGCUUCUUAUCUAAAAUUAGUGAUGAGAAGGAAGAAAUGGUUUUUAGCUGGUCAUAAUAAAAUAUUUUUAAAAUAUUAAUAUAUUAAACCAAAAAAAACUCUAAAUAGAACUUCGAUCUCUUGAAUCUACCUUAAAACAAAAGGGAAUGACCGAGGUAAUGAAAGAAAUAAUAACAAGAAAAGCUCAAAGUAUUGAAGAACGUUUUUUAUUACAGAAAAACACAAAUUUACAUUAGAUAAAAUGACAUAUAAAUAGCUUAACUACAUGUAACGUUAAAGCUAAAAAACCUGCAACUAAUAGCCCACUAAAACCUCAACUAACAAAACAUAACCUGAUCAUAUCCCUAUAAAAUAGGAACCAACUUAUUUGAUAAAGAAAACAAGUAAAUUAAAAAAUCCAGUAAGAUGCACUAAUUUUUAACACUCCCCCUUAGUGCAUGCUUACGAUCAAGAACUCCAAGAGCAUCUCUAAAUUGCUGAAACUUAGGCUACACCAAAGCCUUAGUGAAAAUAUCAGCCACUUGAUCGUUGGUGCGAAUGUUUACAAGCUCAAUCUCUUCACUUUGAACCUUUCCUCGAACAAAAUGAUGUCGAACCUCGAUGUGCUUCGUUCGAGCAUGAAAAACCGAGUUCGAUGCAAGCUUAAUGGCACUUUCAUUAUCACACUUGAUUUUUACAGCAUAAUCAACUUUGCAUAUGUCUCCAAUCAACCUCUUCAACCAAAUGCACUCUUGUGUAGCCAUAGUUGCUGCUACAUACUCGGCUUCAGUACUCGACAAAGCAACAACACCUUGCUUUUUGCUACACCAAGAAACCGUUGCUGAACCGAUACUGAAACAAUAUCCCGAAGUCGAGUGACGAUCGUUUGUAUCUCCAGCCCAAUCGGCAUCAGUAAAUCCACUCAACAUAAAGCUAUCACAUCUCUUAUAUAGAAGACCAUAACCAAUAGUUCCUUUAACAUAACGCAAAAUCCUCUUUGCUGCAUCCAUAUGAAUAGUUGUUGGAUUCUGCAUAAAUUGAGAAACAACACUAACAGAGUAUGAAAUUUCAGGCCUUGUAAUGGUCAAAUAGAUUAAGCUUCCAACAAGUUGUCGGAACUUCCUUGCAUCUUCCAACGGCCUCUCAUCAUCUUUCUUCAACUUCAAAUUCGGCUCCAUCGGAGUAGCUUUUUCUUUCGACUCUCCCAUACCGAAACGCUCCAGGAGAUUCCUUGCAUAGCCUUUUUGAGAAACAAAGUAACCUUGAUCUGAUUUUUCCACUUCUAGACCAAGAAAACAUCCAAUUUCCCCUAAAUUUUUCAUCUCGAAACAAACAGACAAGUCAUUCCUCAAAUUACAAAUUUCUGAUUCAUUAUCUCCAGUUAUUAUCAUAUCAUCAACAUAUAAUAAUACCAAGAGAUGUGCACCUGGUUCCAAUUUUAUAAAUAAACUAGAAUCUGAUUCAGAAACUCUAAAGCCACAAAAAAUGAGAUAUUGAGCAGCUUUACCAUACCAUUCUCGUGGGCUUACUUAAGGCCAUAUAGCGCUUUCUUCAAACGGUAAACACGAUCGGGAAAUUCCUUAGAGACAAAGCCAACAGGUUGCUCCAUAAAUACUUCACGGUCUAAAUCUCUGUAAAAACGCAUUCUUUACAUCAAGUUGUCAUAGUCUCCAACCUUUAAACGCAGCAAGCGAAAUAAUCGAUCUCACUGUCACCAUCUUUGCUACUGGGCUGAACGUCUCCUCGUAGUCCAAUCCAUAAUUUUGAGAAAAACCACGAGCCACCAGACGAGCUUUAAAUCUACCAAUGGUGCCAUCUAAUUUUUUCUUCACGCGAAAAACCCAUUUACAAGUGAUCAGCUUACAAUUUUCUGGUUUAGGAACCAACUCCCAUGUCUCAUUUUUGUCUAAAGCUUCAUUUCUUCUUCCAUGGCUGCCUCCCAUUUUGAAUGGCCUUUGGCUUCUUCAUAACUUACUGGUUCUUCAUCAGAAGCUCCAACAAAGAAACAAGAAGUGAUACUACAAUGAUUAAGCUGCACCUCAUAGUCUCUGAGAUACUCAGGUUGUCUCGUUUCUCUGGUAGACCUCCUCACUCUCUGUUACUCACCACCCUCAUGCCGUUGAACAUUCUGACUUGGAGUUUGUGUUGGAGAUUCAUUUUCCAACUCAUCAUUAGUGAAUGGUUGCAAAUUAACUCUUGGAAAUAGCUCAUCCAAGUUUUCAUCAUCACCUUCAAGAACAAUAUUUUCUGUAGCAAAUCUUUGAGUGGAGUAGAAAGAUGAUACUUCAUCGAACACGACAUCUCUCGAAGUAGUAAACUUUUUCGUAUCCGGAUCCAUACACCUCCAUCCCUUUCUGUAAGAAUCAUAGCCAACAAAUACACACUUCUUUGCUUUCGGAUCAAGUUUAGUUCUUUUCGAUUUCGGAACAUGUACAUAACAAAUAGAACCAAAGACUCGAAAAUAAUUCACAUUUGGCUUUUCACCAUAUAAAAUCUCAAAAGGAGAUUUCUGUGUACCUGGCCAAUGAGGCAGCCUAUUUGUCACAUGACAUGCACAAAGAACAGCUUCCGCCCAAAGCUCUCGAGGAAGAUUCUUGUCAUGCAGCCAUGAAAGGCAAAUCGAAGCAAGAUAACCAAGCUUUCUUUCUGCAACUCCAUUCUGCUGUGGAGUAUCUGGACAAGUCAUUUGACGACAGAUGUCAUUGUCAUCACAAUACUGAAAAAAAUCAUUGGACAUGUAUUCUCUGCCAUUGUCACUUCGAAGACACUUAAUCUUCUUUCUAAACUCUUUUUCAACCGCAGCUUUGAACUCCACAAACUUGGAUAAUGCUUCACUCUUCUCUUUCAAAAAUUUCACCCAAGCAAACCUUGAGUAAUCAUCCACCAAAACCAUGACAUAACAGUGGCCGCUACAACUCAAUGUUCUCGUUGGUCCCGUCAAGUCCGUAUGAACCAAUUCGAGCAAAGAAGAUCUCUGAUUUGAUGAGCUUUUGAAAGGAAGACGAUGAGAUUUACCAUAUUGACAGCCUUGACAAAUCACAUCUUCACGUACACUCUUUAAGAUCGGCAUCCCAUCUAACAACCUUUUCGAAGAAAUUUGUUACAGCAUUUGGUACCCCACAUGACCCAAUCAAGCAUGCUAAAUAGCGGCGUUAUCGGUUUGGCUUUUUUUCUUCACAUAAGCUUCACAUGCCGACAUAACGAACAACGAGCCUCUCUUUUCACCAGAAAACACAACAUCAGGAGAAAUUUCUUUCACAUUAUCAAGAACCUUCACAUCUUUAUGGCCAAACAAGACAUAUUUUCCAGAAUCAGUAAUUUGAGAAACUGAAACUAAAUUUUUCGUCAAACCUGGAACAUGAUACACAUCAGUCAAUUUGACACUUUCGGUUCUCAUAUCGUCGGCAACAUCGAUCCCCACAACGCCCUCUUUUGCUACCGGAUGAGUGGAGUUAUCCGCAGUCACAAUAACUUGAUCUCCAUGAUGUUCAUGCAUCUCCGAGAACAAAGUAUCAUUUUCGGUUACAUGGUGAGAACAACCAGAAUCAAUGAUCCACUCCUCCUUCUUGUUAUCAGCAUAAUUGACAAAAGCUUUUGAUGACUUUUGUUCAAUAGCUUCAACAGUAAAACAAUGCUCCCAUUUGAGUCGAUCAUCGGUUUCUUCCGUGGACUCGACAUUGGCCUUGGAAAUCUUCACACGGUAAUUUCUCUUGAUAUGUCCAGUCUUUUCGCAUCUGAAGCAUUUGAAAGACUUUUUUCUUUGCGAGUUGCCAUCUUUUUCCGAACUAGAGUCUUCAGAUCUGCCUUUAUUUCCAAACUCAUUCUUCUUGCUUGGCUUCCCUUUUGAGAAGAGAACGACAUCAGAUUCGAAACUUUUCGCCAUCUGCUUUGCCAAAGCUUCUUGAUUAGAGAACAAAUUCUCUAACUCCUCCAUCGAAGGCUGUGUCGACCACCCUUGAAUAGAAGUGACAAAAUGCCCAUACUCCUUCUUCAAACCGCGGACAAGAUAACGAUGCAAACGAGCUUCACUAACUUUCUCAUCCGUAUCUGAAAUUUCAGCACAAAUAUUUUUAACUCGUAAAAAAUAUUUUGAAAUUGACAUACCUCCUUGUUUUAACUCGGCCAAUUCGUUCUCCAACAAUUGCAACCUUGCGGUAUUCUUCUUGGUAAACAACCUUUCGAGCGUUUCCCAAACUUCUUUUGGAGAGUUAACAUCACGAACAUGAUCAAUGAACUCUUUGCUAAUAGAAGUCCUCAAAGCAAAGAGAGCUUUACCGCACUUGACCUUACACCUCCUUCGUGACUCGACAUUCUCGGGAAUAUCGGGAGGGAUUGUUGCAUCAACGUCAACAACCAAUCCCCACAAGUCCUGGCCUUGAAGAAAUGCCUCCAUACACAUCCUCCAAUACUUGUAGUUAGUGCCUACAAGCUUCUCCAUACCAAUCUGAUUAUUUCCUCCAUUUGAAACCUCCAUUGCAGCAACUAGCAAAACACCCUUUCACACAAUUAACCAAUGAAUAACCUGGCUCUGAUACCAUAAAACAAAAGGGAAUGACCGAGGUGAUGAAAGAAAUAAUAACAAGAAAAGCUCAAAGUAUUGAAGAACGUUUUUGAUUAAAGAAAAACACAAAAUUACAUUAGAUAAAAUGACAUAUAAAUAGUUUAACUACAUGUAACGUUAAAGCUAAAAAACCUGCAACUAACAAAACAUAAUCUGAUCAUAUCCCUAUAAAAUAGGAACCAACUUAUUUGAUAAAGAAAACAAGUAAAUUAAAAAAUCCAGUAAGAUGCACUAAUUUUUAACAUACCUUUGGAUCAUUUUAAGAUUCUAGACAAGUAGAGAAAAAAAACGAGCUUUUAACUCGAAUAAGAGAAAAUAAUUUUGAUACCUAAACUUUAAUUCUAUUUAUUAUUAAACUUUAAUUCUAUUUAUUAUUGCCAUAUAUCCUUCUAAUGGAGUUAAAAUCUUACCAAUUGUGGGACUAUUAGUUAGAAAAUUUUUAAUCAAAGUCAAGGGAUUUGAAAAUAAUUAUACCAAAAUUUAUUUUAAAAGCCUAAAUGAAAAAUAUUAAGACCAACCCAAGCCCGGCACAAUUUAGCCCAUCAACACAUCUACCCUAAACUUAAACUUUGCCCUCACACUACCCAAUUCAAUCUAGGCUUAAUAUAAAAUUGCCCCCUAAAUUAUAUUCAUUUUCUCAAAUAGGUAUCUUACCUUUUUUUUUUGUCAAAUUGAGUACUUAAAGUAAUUUUUCGCCGCAUUGGUACCCUGUUAGAUCUCCCUUAGUCAGCCAUUAGUAAACAUUGUUCAAUGUUCAAUGAUGAUGCGGCCCAAUCACUAAUAAGCACGUGGCAAAAAAAAGCCACAUAAGUAAACCAUCUCAUUCUUUGUAUAAAAUAAUUCCAAAAAUUAAAAAAUUUAGAAAAAUUAAAACUAUUUUUUGAUUUUAUAUUAAUAUUAAUUCAAAAUAAUAUUAAGAAAUACUUUCACACCCUGUUCCUCUCCCACGGUCCCCCACCAUCCUCACCCAACCCUCUCCCUCUGCUAACCCUUCAAUUAUAUUUUCAUAUAAAAAAAAGUUCCUCCUUUCUUUCUUCAACAUUGAUUCUUUGUCUCACAAUUCCCUUCAAAUCCAUCCACCACAUGUUUGGGAAAAUGACCCUCAAAAAAAUAAAUUUUGAGCUUGAAAUUGGUGUUUUCCUUUUCACGGACUGAAUUAGCUUCUCUAGGAACAUACAGAAUCCAUCACUGCCCUUCAAAUUCUAAAAUUCGUUUAACUCUCCUAAGCAUAGUAACUCCUAAGUCGUCCCCCCACUCUCUUGUAGGGAUUUGACCACCUCCGGAUUAUCAAUUUGAACUAUUCUUUAUUUUAUGUCUAACUAUUGUAAAACAUAUAUAAUAAAUAAGUAUUUUUCUCUUGUUCUUACACUAAUAAUCAAACGAAACAUUAGUAUUAUUUUAUCCCACAUCACUUAGAUAGGUGUUUUGAACUUUGUUUAACUAUUAUUUAACACUUCCAUUGGGGAAAAUACAAUCAAUGUUCCAAACCCUAAUUUGAUUUUGAUGUCAACAUCUCUCUACGAUGCUUCAACAAACCUAACAUCUUAUCAGUAUCAGGCAAGUUGUCUUUGAUUACAGGGACUAAUUUAAAAUUUUGGAUCCACGAGCUCACUCGAGGGAACUUGUGUCUUCUAUAAGCCCGAGCCAGUGAGCAACCAUGCAAAAUGCAAUGUCCACCAUGCUUAUCUCGUCUCUGCCACAAAAUUUUUUCCCUCCAAUUAGUGCAUGUUUUUCAAUGGCUUCCAGCAUUUCCAACCACUCCUUCACUACCGCCUUUUGUUCUUCACCUUCGGUUCAGUAAAGCUUUGAGAGUAAAUGACUCUAUUUUAAGCAGAGAUUCUAGUAUCGGCCAUCAAAAGUUAUUUGCCAUAGAAAAAUCCAAACUACAAAGUGCUAAAAUCUCAAUUUCAACUAGGUUAAAAUAUGCUACAAGUCUUUGUAUUCUUUGUAUGUUUGCAAUUCAGUCCUCCUAUUUUUUGUUUCAAGAAAUUUAAUCCCCCUACUGCUAAAGUUAAAAAGGGUUAAAUCACUUUAGGAGGCUAAAACUUAGUAACUACUCCCACACUGGGGCCUGAACAUUUUUUUUGUUCAAAUUAGUUCUUGAACUUGGCGACUAUUCUCACGGUAUAGCCUGAACUAUUUUUUGUUUAAAUCCCUGAACUUGACAAUUAUUCCGACAUUGAAGCUUGGAUUUUUUUUUUUUUUGGUCCAAGUUAAACAUUGUUUGAUAAACCAUUGAAAAAAAUUGAUUAAUUGAAAAUUAAUAUUUUCAAUGAUUAGUAUUUUACACAUGUUUGAUACUCCAAUAGAAGUUUUUCUAUAAAAAAAAGUGUGGAAUAUGAUGAGUAAAUAAAAUCUAAUUAUAACUUCAUGGAAAAUAUUUUCAAUGAACUCAAUUUUAUUUUAUUUAUUUUAUUAUUAAGUUAUCUUAUAAAAACUUAAUGUUUAAAAACUUGAUUUUGGUUUAGAAUAAAGUAAAAUGUUUAAAAAUUAAUGAAAAAUGUAAACUAUAAUUUUAUAUAAUUCAAAUUCUAUAUUUAUAAAAAAAAUCUAAUUAUAUUUUGUAAUUAAUUUUAAUUAAUGUAUCAAACAAAUUUUAUAACUUAAAUUUGGCACUUAAAAUUUCAAUAUUAACCCUUAUUUUUUCAGUACUUAAUUUUCCAAUUUAUCAAACAACACCUUAAUCCUUAAUAUUUUCUUAAACACCCUAAUGUUCAAGCUCUUACGUGGGAACAAUUACCUAGUUCAAGCACUAACAAGAGAACAAUUACCAAGUUUAAGGAUUAACUUGAACAAAAAAAAGUCCAUACCCCAAUGUAGGAACAAUUACCUAGUUCAAGCCUUAACAUGUGAACAAUUGCCAAGUUUAUGGAUUAAUUUGGACAAAAAAAAAGUUCAAACUCUAAUGUGAGAAUUGUUGAUGUGAGAAUUGUUGUCAAGUUCAGGCCUCAAACUAUGAUUUAACCCAUUUAAAAAUGUAAAUAUAAUUGUAAUCGUAAUUAAUUGUUUAUGCUAAAUUCAAGUUCAUAACUCUUUUUUUUUUUUGUUAUAUGACUAUCAAAUGAGUAACUUUUUUUAAUUUCAAAAUAUCGCACCAACAAAUUUAACAAAAAAAUUAACCGUGUUAAUAAUUAAAUAUAAAUUUUGAUAUAUAAAAAGUAGAGAGAUUAAAUUCUUGAAAAUAAAAGUAGGUGAACUAAAUUCUAAAUAUAUGAAGAAUAUGGGACUUAGAGUGUAUUUUAACUUUUCAACUAUCAUUAAAUAUUUAAUACUAGAUUAUAAUAAAUAAAAGACACCUACUUCAUGAAUGAAAUUAUUAUAAUGUUAUUUUUAUCUUUUUAUAUUUUUAUUAUGAUGUAGAAUUUUUUUAUUGAUACGAAAUUUAUUAUUAAUUGAAUAUAGUUUAUUUGAGUUGGUGGAUGACACCAACUCGAUAAAAAGCUUAAUAAAUAAUUAGAAAUUCUAUCACAUACAUAUGCGUGUGAAAACCACAAAUUUCAAACACUAAUGUAUGUUUAAAAAAUAUCAUACAAUAAAUAAUGAAACAUAUGGUUUAAAGCUAAUUAAUAAUAGCAUAUGAAAUAUAUAUGAUGUUAAAAUGAAAACUAGAUUAAAAUUGUCUAUCAUUUUGUUGUCCUCAAUCUUGAGUCAAUGUACUUGUGACAUCAACUCAGUUAAGGGUUUUAUUAUUAACUAUAUAUAUACAACCGGUGGAGGUAAUAAAUCGUGCAUAAUAAAAUAAAAAUGUAUAAAAAUAUUAAAAUAAAACUUUAGUUGGAUGGUAACUUAAAAACUUUAAUAAUGCAAUUGGCAUGGGUUUGAUUCCUACCAUGUACAUUUUUUUUAAUGAAAAGAUUAAAAUACCCUCUAAUAAUAUUACUUAUUUUAAUUACGUUAAAGCCUUCCUGUAAUUUCCUAACCGAGUUGGUGCCCAAUUGACUUGUGACACCAACUUAAUCAGGUGCUUUAUUAAUACUAGAAAUCCUAUCACACACGUAUGCAUGUGGAAACCGCAAAUUUAGAAUACAAAUGUGUAUUUAAAAAUAACAUAUAAUAAAUAAUAAAAUGUAUAAGUGGACACAAAUAAUAAUAAUAACACGUAAAAUAUGCAAGAUAUUAAAAUAAAAAAAAGAUUAAAAUUGUUUAUCGUGAUAUUGUAAUCAAUCUUGAGUCAGUGUCGAGUUCAAUCAAAUACAUUAAUAUAUAUACUAGAAAUCCUAUCUCUAUAUAUAAUUGAUUGGGGUAAUAAAGCAUGCAUAAUAAAAAUUGAAAUGUACAAAACUAUUAAAAUAGUACUUUAAUUGAGUGAUAAAUUAAAAAUUUUUCUAACCCAAUUUACUCGUUUUCAAUUCCCACCAUAUGUAUUUUUUAUUGAUUUUUUUAAAAUAAAAAGAGAAACAUAAUAUAAAGAAUAUAAAUAUGAAAUUCUUUGUAACUUGUUAAAGAAAUUUCGGAUCAACGUAAUGAUAAAAUAAUGAUAAUAACAGAUUCAACCCCUAUACUUUAUCAAUAUAUCUAAUAUGGUAUCUUUACUUUUAAAAUAUAUUGCCAUAUAUCCUUCUAAUGGAGUUAAAAUCUUACAUCGCUUUGAAUGCAACCAAUUGUAUGCUGCCAUGUGGCACUAUUAGUUUGAAAAAUUUUAAUCAGAGUCAAGGGAUUUGAAAAUAGUUAUUCCAAAAAUUGUUUUAAAGGCAAAAAGAAGAAGAAAAACAUUAAGACCAACUCGAGCCCGGCAAAAUUUAGCUUUCAGAGAGAUGGCUGAGUGGUUGAUAGCUCCGGUUUUGAAAAUCGGUAUAGUUCGAAACAUAGAAUUAUCGAAGGUUUGAAUUCCUCUCUCUCCUUUGCUCGAUGAAUAGGUUUGUAAUUAAUUGGAUUUGGCCACAGCUGUACUGAGAUCGAUUCCACUAAAAAUUGAUGAUUUAAUUGGUUUAAUUGCCAAUUCGAUUGAUAUAAUAUUAAUCCAAAAUAGUCAAUAAAAUAUUUUUAUUCUAGGAUAAACAUACAUUUUGAUAUUUGAACUUGAUUUCAAGGUCCAAAUUGGUACUUAAAGUUUAGGGUUUAAAUAGGAAGAUAAUACACUUCAACACACUCAAACCCACGAGAUUUUAGACUCUUAAAAAUUAACAAUUCAAUUUAAUUUAGUUCUUUAACCUAAAACUAUGAAGUUUGGCUCUCAAUAAUUUAUAUUUUAUGCUAAUCAUUUUUAUUAAAAUAUUUUAAUUUUGAUUUUGUUUCGAACUGAGCAAUCGAUCAAUUCAAUCCAAUCCAAAGAUUUAACAAACUCUUUUACGAAUCAAAAUAGAACCAAAUUCUCUAUAAAACCAACAAAAUCAAAUUAAUUAUGAAUAAUUUACUUCUCUACAUAUGAUUGAAUUACUAAAUAAUAUUGGCAAAAAAUACUAAAUAAUUUUUUUUGUAAAUAUAAUUUUAAUAUUAAUUUUUUCUUUCACUCAUGGAUAUGACAAAAUUCGCUAUUUGAAAUUGAAAGCUGAUUAAUUUGAUUUUGGAUUUCCAAAAUGAAAACCAAUUUACCGGACCUACAAUAUACUCGACAAAACUAAAAUUUACCCGUUGAAUUGCUUUAGUCAGUUUGAUCCGACUAUUGCACACCCUUAAUUUUGCUCCCUCAAUGUAUGUAUACUUGUUAACAUCGGGACUGGUAUCAUUGGAAUGAAACGUGGAGAGCAAGCAACGAAAUUUUCCGAAGAAAAGUGUCCUCUCCUACUUCCUUCUUCCUCAUACUUUCUUCUGCUGUUUCUUUCUUCUUUCUUUCUUUAUUUGCUAAAUUAUAUCUAUAUCCAUGCUUAAAAUUUUGAAAAUUGGGCAAAGCAUCAAUAUAUUCCUUUCUUUAUGAAGACCAAAACCAACACCCAAGAAAAGAAUCUACUAACCAUGAGGUCUGGAAAAAUUUGAUGAAGCAAUUUCAUUUUUGUUCUUCUUCUUCUAAAUAAUUUCACAGUAUCUGAGAGUUGGAAAGAAAGAGAGAUGGAAAUUCAACAUUUCAGCCACCACCAUCCUUUGGUCUUCAUCCAAGCUCACAGUGUUGCAGCUCUUUGCCUUGUGUGUGAGAAACCUGUAGAGGGCUGGAGCUAUGGCUGCAAUCAAUGUGAGUUUUAUCUUCACAAGGGAUGUGCCGAGUUAGAGUUAGCCCCCAAGAUUCAGCAUCCCUUCCACCCCAAACACCCUCUCACUCUUCUUCCAAAAUCACCUUAUUCUGAGUUAGGAAUUUGUAAUUUUUGUCGUAAGAAAUUUGGGGGAUUUGUUUAUGAUUGUAAUGAUUGUAGUUUCGAUCUGCACAUCAAUUGUGCUUUGCUUCAAUCAUCCAUUGCUGCAAAUUUUCCUAAUUCUUUGCACCCCCAUCCUUUGUUAUUCAUUCAAAAUCAUAACAACGAAGUCAAGUCUCAUUGCUCCGGAUGUCAGAAACCAAUAUCUGGUCAAAUUUACCACUGUUCAGAUUGCACAUAUCCUUAUUUUAACCUUCAUAAGGAAUGUGCUGAACUACCCCUUGAGAUUAAUCACCCCUACGAUCGUAGGCAUCCUCUUACUCUCUUGCCACAACCGCCUACUCAUCCCCCUAAAUGUAGUUGCUAUUUGUGCAGAAUCCAAUGGAAGGGAUUUGUUUAUUCCUGCUCUCUAUGCAACUUUGAUCUUUCACUGGAUGAUUUUCUUUUUUCAUCACCAACAAUCACAGUUGCAAGUCAUGAACACCCGUGGAUGCUUGUAUCUAGAAAAAUGUCGUUUGUUUGUGAUUUUUGUGGCACUGACGGAGAUCACACCCCCUAUUUCAGUGCUAUAUGUCACCUCCUUGUCCACAAGAAUUGCAUUUCAUUGCCACGCCACAUCAUGAUAACACGACAUCGUCACACGAUUUCUCUUUCCUAUUCUCUUCGACAAAAUCAAGUUGAGGAUUGGAUGUGCAAAAUUUGUUACGAGGAAGUUGAUAUAAGAUAUGGCAAUUACCGUUGUCCUGCUUCUCGUUGCCGUUAUAUUGCUCAUGUACGUUGUGCAACUGAUAAAGCAAUUUGGGAUGGAACAAUUAUGCCAGAAGGCUAUGAUGAGAGGUCCGAGGAAGUGGUGGAUGAACCUUGGAAUUUGAUUACUGAUGUUGUUGAACAAAUUCGUAUUGGAGAGCUAAUGGUUGCAAGUGAGAUCAAGCAUUCCUAUCAUGAUCAUAAUUUAAGACUCACUUUUAGUGGGAAGACCAAAGAUGAUGAUAGUCACUGCGAUGGGUGCACGAGACCUAUAUCAACUCCUUUUUAUAGUUGUGAGCAAUGCAGGUUCUUUCUCCACAAAGAUUGUGCUGAAUUGCCUAAAGAAAUGCCACACCCAUUUCACAAGCAUUUGCUUACUCUCUCAAACUCACACGAUGAGUAUGGCUAUUCAUACUGCGUUGCUUGCCGUCGUCGGUAUCAAGGAUUUGGGUACAGAUGCUACAAAAGAGAUUGCAGGUUCGGAAUUGACAUUCAAUGUAUGUUAUUGUCGGACACCUUGAAGCACCCAAGUCAUGAGCAUUCACUCGUUCUUGUCCACAACAACGAGGGAACGAGUUGCAGUGCUUGUUUCAGUUAUUUACUAUCAAUGGAUGUUGCAUAUAGAUGCAUGAAGCGCUGUGAUUUCAGUUUAGAUGUAGGUUGUGCAUCACUACCACUCACUGCUUGGUACAAGUAUGACAGGCAUGCUCUUACUUUAACUUUUUCUGAUGAUUCUGAGCCUUCUCAACUUUACUGCGAUCUCUGCGAAAAAGAAAGAGAGCCAAAUCGUUGGUUUUACUACUGUGCUGAUUGUGAUAACUCUCUUCAUCUCAAUUGUGCUAUCGGAGAUCUCCCAUAUAUGAAGCUUGGGAACAAAUUCAAAACUGCUUGGCAUAAACAUCCAUUCACUGUUGUGAAAAACAUCUGGAAUUGCCCUCCAUGUAAGGAAUGUGGUGAGGUUUGCAAUGGGCAGGCCUUAGAAUGUAAAGAAUCUGAAUGCAAUUUUACCGUCCAUUGGAAUUGCCUUUGGGAUCUCCGGGAAUGAUAUACCACUCAAGUUGAAGAAACAGAGAAGCUGCAACAUCAUAGGUGUGUGGUGUUGUGUGGAAGGGUGUAGGAGAUUUGGUAAAAAUGGGUGAUGGCCUUAGUUGUUGUAAUCUGCAUUAUGUGAUGUUAAUGGUGGUUGUUUGAGCAGUAGAAGGUUGUGUUAGAUGAAACAUGGUUUGUAACCACACAUCUGUAUCUUUCACUUUUCUAUUUGCUUAUUAUGCAUUCAACUUGUAUCUAAAAUUAGUGAUGAGAAGGAAGAAAUGGUUUUUAGGUUGUGAUAAUAAAAUAUUUUUAAUAUGAGAAGUAUGAAAAUACGAAAAUAAUGUUGAGUUUGGAAAUUUAAAAACAAAAUCAUUCUUCCCUUCAUAACUGCAUACAAAAUUGUGUAAAAUAAGUAGGGGGGAGACCAUCGACAGCCACUCACUGUUGUGAAAAACAUCUGGAAUUGCCCUCCAUGUGAGGAAUGUCGUGAGCUUUGCAACGGACAGGCCCUAGAAUGCAAAGAAUCUGGAUGCAACUUUACCAUACACUGGGAUUGUUGUUGGUAUUAGACCUUCUAGGACUCUGGUGAACCAUUUCAAUGAUACUCCACUCAAGACUACCAGACAGAGAAGUCGCAACUUCACAUGUCUGUUCUGUCCAUCUGCAUGCACGUACCAGAUUUGCCAACAAGGGCUCAUGUCCGUUUGUUUUUCUUAAUUGCUUUUUAUUAUGUUAUUGUUGUCUAAGAACUUCAACCUUGUAUAAAUCAAACAUGAUUUGAGGCUAGUCAUGAGAAUUCUUUUAGGUUAAAUAUACAUUUUGGUACCUAAACUUGGCUCUAAGGUUCACAUUGGUACCUGAACUUGACGUUUCGGUUCAAAUUGGCUUUUUAUUCCAAAUUAGUACUUGAGUUAGAUGACAUAUUUGAACUAUGAAGUCAAGUUCGGUACUAAUUUGAACCAAAAUGACAAAUUCAAAUACCUAAUUGAACAAAAAAAAUUUAAGUACCAAACUGAACCUUGAGGUUAAGUAUUAAUCAUUUAAGUUUUUUAAUCAUUCGAAUAAAUGGAAAAAUAGUAAUUUUGGCCCUUCAUGAAAAUUAAUCAUAUAAUUUAAGCUCUUUUAGAAUAAAACUUUUAACUUCGGUCUCAAAAUUUUAAAAUUUUAUCUUAGCCGCCUGCAAGGUUUUUGGCUUCGUCACUAUAAGAGACUAAAUCACAAGAAAAUGAGCAAAUCCUGAAGGGGCAGGUAGGGGACUGUCAGUCUGUCACCCAAUUUGAGUUUUCAUAUAAAUAAUGAUAUUAUAAAUUAAUAUAUAGUAAAAUUCUAUUUUAGUCCUUUAAAAUAAAAGCAGUUCUAUUUAAUCCCUUUAAAUAUGAUAAAUUACAUUUUAACCUUUCAAAAAUUUAUAAUUUAAUUUAGAUCCAAGGGAAGGAGGUUCUAUUGGUUGAGCUCAUCCACCACACUAAACAUUAAUUAUUGGCAAAAAGAAACUGUUACAAACUUACAAUGCAUGAUGGAGAAAACAUAGAAAUGUACGAAAAGAAAAUCCCAGUCCUUUGGCAUUAUUUCUCAAUAUCAAGAGUACUUAAUUUUUUAGUGAUUAUGUUGAGAUUUCCAAUAAAGUUCCCUUCUUUUUUCCAAGAAAUCCACAAUUCUAGUGUAAUCGGGGACAUUGUCUUUGAUCACAGGGUGUUCGCUGAAAUGCCUGACCCAGGCAUGCAGGCGUGGGAAGCUAUCGGCUUUAAUGAACUUUACUCCCCCCACCACCUCUUCCAUGGGUGCCAACAUAUGAAUAACCAUUCCAAAAACAAGGUCAGCUACGCCAAUUUGGUCGCCGCCAAAGAACUUUUUAUCUCCAAGACCAUGUUCCUCAAUCGUCCUCAGAAUUUCGUAGUUGUCCUUGAUUGCCUUCUGCUGUUCUUCGCCAUGUUUAGCAAAGAAUUCCCACAUUGGUUGAGUCUGCAAACUUAUAUUAAUAAGGUUAGGAUCAAACAUUACUGGUCUGCAAGUGGUUUGAGACUAGAUCCCCAGCUUGGAGGGAGGGGUGAAAUUGGUUUUAAAAUGGAUUAAUUUGAGUUAAAUUUUUUUUUUAUCAUUUUGGGUUCGAAUUUUUUACGGUCUAACUCGUUUUUAAGUUUGGAUUGGGCAAGUUUUGAUCAGUCAAUCCUGGAUUUGGCUUCACUCUAUUACUUUUAAUCUAUUAAUAUCCAAUGCAUGUCUAAUGAUCAUUCACUAAUUAAUAUUUACAUUUAAUAGAUGGUCCUACACAUUUGAAUGGUGAUGAUAAUUAUAUUGGAUAUUAUUAAUGGAAGAAAAAGUAAUGGAGUAGAUCUUGACCCGUUAAUUCUAACCCAAACUUAAAAAAUUAACCCAAUUAUAUUGAAUCCGAACAAAAAAUGACUUAUAUCCAAAACGAUUUAGAAUGAUCUAAAUCCAAAAUGAUCUGAUCAAGUACCUUGAAUUGACUUGAACUCAAGAUGACUUAAGCAGGAAAAAAAAAACUAACUAGUAAAUUGGAAAUAUUCGAACCGAAAAUAACCCAAACAUCACAAACUCAAAACUGAUUUAAACUUGAAAUGACUCGGGCCCAAAACAACCCAAAGUUUUAAAAACUAAAUUGGAAUUAUUAAUCGAGCGAGUCUUAGUUCAAUCGACACAAUUACUAUUGCAAUAACUAGAAAGGCGUGGGUUUGAGUUUAAAGAUAAGGAGAGAUUAUAAAUAAAAAUACAUGAGUUUGAAAUAUUGACUUAUGAUUAUCAAAUCAGACAAAUUAAUUGAAUUGAACUUCCAGACUCGAAUCAAAAUUCACAAGAGAACAAAUUUGGGAAGAAAAAGUAGAUUAAAAAAAUGAGGAAGCAUAUGACAAAUGUUGAACAAAAUCAAGAUAACACGUACGUUUUCCUGAAUGAAUUUGGCCCAAAAUCUAGCUACGGAUCUCUCGUAAGCAUCUUUUGGCAACAAAGGAUUAUGUGGCCACACUUCAUCUAUAUAUUCCAAAAUAACCAAUGACUCUACAAUUGGCUUUCCUCCAUGAACGAGCACUGGGAUCUUUUUAUGAACUGGGUUGUACUGCAACAACAGAUCACUCUUAUUAUAAGGCAGAUCUUCUUCAAUGUAUUCAUAUUCCACACCUUUUAGCUUUAAUGCCCAAAUGACCCUUCUACUAAAAGGACUUGCCCAAAACCCAAAGAGCUUCACUUCAUCCAUGGUCUAGUGUUUUGGUCUCUGUUUUGUGAAGUAAACUAGGGGCCAUUAUAUAAUUGUUUUGGGUGGGGGGAUUUGGACUGUUCUUGGUCAGCCUAAAUACAAUCGUCAUGGAUGAUGUAUCGCAAUUACUAAUACUAUGGCUUGCUGCAAAUUAUAUUUUGCCAGAUUCUCCAGUUAAAUUAUGCAUAUAUGCCGGUUUUUUUAAUUAGUUAAAUAGGUCGUUUUUUUCAAGAUUUAAGGAAAUAGGUUAAUUUUGAUGAGAUUGUAUGAAAGUACUUGAUGAGAUUGUAUGAAAAUGCGUCCAGUUGUACGUGCUUUUGCUGACACGUCAGAAAAACGUGCCAGUUAAAAGGUUUUCUAAAAAUUCCAAAGAAAGCUCGUCCAGCUUCCUGGCAACUGUGCAGCUGGACACGUAUUUCAUACUCUCUCUCCAAAAUCGGUCGAGUUUCUUAAAUCUUCAAAAAUUUUGGUACCGAAGGUUUAUUUUGGUUCAAUUACGUACUUGAACUUGACGUCUUGGUUCAAAUUAGCUUUUUAGUCUAAAUUAGUACUUGAGUUAGAUGACGUAUUUGAACCAAUUUGAACUACGAAGUCAAGUUCGGUGCUAAUUUGAACCAAAAUGGAAAGUUUAAAUACCUAAUUGAGCAAAAAAAAAUUAAGUACUAAAUUGAACCUUGAGGUUAAACAUUAAUCAAUUUUAAGUUUUUUAAUCAUUCGAAUAAAUGGAAAAAUUGUAAUUUUAGCCCUUCGUGAAAAUUAAUCAUAUAAUUUAAGCUCUUUUAGAAUAGAACUUUUAACUUCAGUCUCAAAAUUUUAAAAUUUUAUCUUAGCCCCCGCAAAGUUUUUGGCUUCGUCACUAUAGGGGACUGUCACCCAAAUAUGAGUUUUCAUAUAAAUGAUGAUAUUAUAAAUUAAUAUAUAGUAAAAAUUCUAUUUUAAUCCUUUAAAAUGAAAACAAUUCUAUUUAAUCCCUUUAAAUAUGAUAAAUUACAUUUUAACCUUUCAAAAUUUUAUAAUUUAAUUUAGAUCCAAUCCAAGGGAAGGAGGUUGUAUUGGCUGAGCUCAUCCACCACACCAAACAUUAAUUAUUGGCAAAAAGAAAUUGUUACAAACUUACAAUGCAUGGAGAAAACAUAGAAAUGUACGAAAAGAAAAUCCCAAUCCUUUUGCAUUAUUUCUCAAUAUCAAGAGUACUUAAUUUUUUCUAGUGAUUAUGUUGAGAUUUCCUAUAAAGUUCUCUUCUUUUUUUCAAGAAAUCCACAACUCUAUUGUAAUCGGGGACAUUGUCUUUGAUCACAGGGCGUUCGCUGAAAUGCCUGACCCAGGCAUGCAGGCGUGGGAAGCUAUCGGCUUUAAUGAACUUUACUCGCCCCACCACCUCUUCCAUGGGUGCCAACAUAUGAAUAACCAUUCCAAAAACAAGGUCAGCGACGCCAAUUUGGUCGCCACCGAAGAACUUUUUUGUCUCUAAGACCAUGUUCCUCUCGUCCUCAGAAUUUCAUAGUUGUUCUCGAUUGCCUUCUGCUGUUCUUCACCGAAUUUACGAAAGAAUUCCCACAUUGGUUGAGUCUGCAACCUUAUAUUAAUAAGGUUAGGAUCAAAUAUUACUGGUCUGCUAGUGGUUUGAGACUAGAUCCCUAGAUUCGAGGGGGUGAAAUUGGCUUUAAAAUGGAUUAAUUCGAGUUUUAAAUUUUUUUUAUCAUUUUGGAUUACUUGUUUUGGCCAUUUUGGGUUCGAUUUUAUACACCAAACAAAACAUUAAUUAUUGGCAAAAAAAAAUUUUUUUAUUGUUACAAACAUACAAUGCAUAAAAAAAAAGUAAAAAUGCUACAAGAAAAAGAACAAUCAAUCCUUUUGCAUUAUUUCCCAAUUUUUAGUUCUUAAACGAUCAAAAGUACCUUCUUUCUUUCUUUUUUCUAGCUAUUCUGUUGAGAAUUCCUACAAAAUUCUCUUCUUAUCUUCAAGAAAUCAACAACUUUAGUGUAAUCAGGGACAUUGUCUUUGAUCACAGGGUGUUCGCUGAAAUGCUUGGCCCAAGCAUGCAGGCGUGGGAAGCUAUCGGCUUUAAUAAACUUAUAUCCCACCACCUCUUCCAUAGGCGCCAACAUAUGAAUAAUCAUUCCAAAAACAAGAUCAGCUAUGCCAAUUUGGUCGCCACCAAAGAACUUUUUGUCUCCAAGACCAUGUUCCUCAAUCGUCCUCAGAAUUUCAUAGUUGUUCUCGAUUGCCUUCUGCUGUUCUUCGCCGAAUUUACGAAAAAAUUCCCACAUUGGUUGAGUCUGCAAACUUAAGGUUAGGAUCAAAUAUUACUGGUCUACAAGUGGUUUCAGACUAGAUCCCCAGAUUGGAGGGGUGAAAUUGGUUUUGAAAUGGAUUAAUUCGAAUUUUAAAAUUUUUUACAUUUUGAAUUACUUGUUUUGGUCAUUUUGGGUUAGAUUUUUUGAUGGUGUAGCUUGUUUUUAAGUUUGGAUUGGGCAAGUUUUGAUCAGUCAAUCCUGGAUUUGACUUCAGUCCAUUACUUUUUAAUCUAUUAAUAUCCAAUGCAUGUCUAAUGAUCAUUCUCUAAUUAAUAUUCACAUUUAAAUGGUCCUACAUAUUUAAAUGGUGAUGAUAAUUGUAUUGGAUAUUAUUAAUGAAAAAAAGGAGUAAUGGGGUCGAUGUUAAUCCGUUGAUUCUAACACAAACUCAAAAAAUCAACCCAAUUCUAGCUACGGAUCUCUCGUAAGCAUCUUUUGGCAACAAAGGAUUAUGUGGCCACACUUCAUCUAUAUAUUCCAAAAUAACCAAUGACUCUGCAAUUGGCUUUCCUCCAUGAACCAGCACUGGGAUCUUUUUAUGAACUGGGUUGUACUGCAACAACAGAUCACUCUUAUUAUAAGGCAGAUCUUCUUCAAUGUAUUCAUAUUCCACACCUUUUAGCUUUAAUGCCCAAAUGACCCUUCUACUAAAAGGACUUGCCCAAAACCCAAAGAGCUUCACUUCAUCCAUGGUGUAGUGUUUUGGUAUCUGUUUUGUGAAGUAAACUAGGGGCCAUUAUAUAAUUGUUUUAGGUGGGGGGAUUUGGACUGUUCUUGGUCAGCCUAAAUACAAUCGUCAUGGAUGAUGUAUCGCAAUUACUAAUACUAUGGCUUGCUGCAAAUUAUAUUUUGCCAGAUUCUCCAGUUAAAUUAUGCAUAUAUGCCGGUUUUUUUUUUUAAUUGGUUAAAUAGGUCGUUUUUUUUCAAGAUUUAAGGAAAUAGGUUAAUUUUGAUGAGAGUGUAUGAAAGUGCGUCCAGUUAGACAAGCUUUUGCUGACACGUCAUGAAAAGGUGCCAAGUUAAAAGCGUUUUCUGAAAAUUCCAAAAAAAGCUCGUCCAGCUUCCUGCCAACUGUGCAGCUGGUCACGUUUUUCAUACUCUCUCUCCAAAAUCGGUUGAGUUCCUUAAAUCUUCAAAAAGAUGGCCUAUUUGACCAAUUAAAAAAACAACGGUAUAUAUGACUAAUUUAGCCAAAUUCUUCACUUUUCUUGACUGUAAUAAUAAUUUUUAAGUCCAUACAAUUACAUUUUUGUGAUUAUAAUUUAUACCAUGAAUUUAUUAAAAACUCUUAAUUUUUAUAAAAUGGUCAAUAUUAUUUUAAGGAUAUUUUUGUUUGGCUUAAUUGAAAAUGAGGUCCUUAAACUAUGUCCUUUGUUUGAGUUAAGUACUUAAAUUUUUUUUGACCGAAUUAGAUACCUAAAUUUUAUUUCGUAAUCGAAAUUGGCCGCUCUUUUUCACAUUCGUUUAAAAAAUCAUUCCAACCAAUCAAAAAGUGUCAUGUCACUAUCUCAUUAAAAUAUAAUCAAAUAAAAAUUUUAUAUUAAUAUUAAAUAAAAAAGAUUACCUCCCAACUAAAAAUAUUUAAAAAAGAUGUAAAUAAAAACAAACAGAAAUUUUAUAUAUUAAUAUAUAUGCCUUGAUCAUCAAGCAAAAUCGUCAACCUUCCAACUAAAAAUCGGCAGCACUUUUACUUUUAUAUAUAUAUGGUCCCCUCUUCCUUUACUUAUUUGAGAAAAUAUUCCAAGAGCCCCCAUAAAAUAUUCAGUAAAAUGGAGUGGGAGUUGGAGGUAAAAUUGGAUUGAGUUAUCCAUCUAGUGAGAAGGUGGGAUUGUGGGAGGGGGAAGGAAAGAGAUGGUGAUGGUGGAAGGGAGGGGAGAGAGACAUGGGGGAGAGGAGAGGGAUGGAGUUGAGGUAUGUUUUAUUUUAUUUUGAUGAUGACGUGAGGCUCUUUGAUUGGUUUUGGCUUUUUUUUUUUUAAUGAAGUGUAAUGGUAAGGGUUAAUUUCAGUUACAGAAAUAAAAUUUAAGUACUUAAUUUGACAAAACAAAAUUAGGUACCUAACUCAAAUGAAGGGCAUAGUUUAAGGACCUAAUGUUCAAUUAAGCUUUUUUUUUAUGUUUUUAUAUAAAAUCUAGAAAAUACAUUCACGUAAUGAGAUUCGAACUCAAAACAUCAUGAAUUUUAUUCUCUCAACUUUACCAUCUCAAUUAAAAAACAUAUUUAAGUAUUUAUUUCAAAAUUUAAAUCUACUUUAAAUAAUUGGUAUGAAUUUCUUGAGCAAGAAGAGCAUGGGUGAAACUAGGGGUCCUCGGCCCCCUAAAAUGAAAACUUUUCUAUUUAAGUUCUUUAAAAUUUUUAAAAUUUUAAAUUAGUAAAGGUAAAAUUACACUUUGACCUCCUAAAAUAUAAAAAAAUUGAUUUAAUCCUUGUAAAAAAAUAAAGAUAUAGACUAUUAAAAUGAUGAAAUUACAUUUUGGCCAUCGUAAAAAUUACAAUUAUAAUUUGCCUCCUCUAACUAAAAAAUGGACAAAUUAAUCAUUGUAUAGUCGAUCAGAGAGCAAACUAAUAUUUUUAUUAAAAAUUUCAUUCAUUUUUAUUGUUAAAUACUGACGUGGUUGAAUGAGCAACUAAACAGUGACACUUGGUGUGCGAUGUGUACCUUAUGUUGACAUAGAGGGACUAAUUUAAGUAAAAUGAAUGAAAUUUUUAAUAGAAGAAAUAGACAGUUUUUUUAAUAAGCAACUAAACAGUGUUUUUUUUAUAAUUAAGGUAUCAUAUAUAUUUAUUUUACCCAUGUGUUGAUUUGAUGAUCAGGGUGUUCACCGUCUCAAAUGAAAUCUAGGUUCAAGUCACGCUAAUCGCGUUGCUGUUAGAACUUUUCUCUCCUCUUAUAAUUUACCAAAAAAAGAUAAUCUAUCUUUGAUGUUUUAGAAACGUGUCAUCAUGUCGAGGGAGCAUUUGACUAUAAAAUCAAAUUGUGCUAAUGUGUCGAUAUGUAAUAAGUGAAAAAUAUUUUAGAAGUGUUUUAGAACUAACUACUACUUAAGUUAUUCGAAAAUUCUAUUUUAUUAUAUAUUAUAUGUGUAUGUAUGCUAACUUAUAUAAUAAAUUAACAAAAAUAAAAUAAAAUAAAAUAAGAUUACUUCUUUUUUCAUGUUUCUUACUCGUUGAAUUCUGUAAUAAUCCGGUUUUUGGUAGUGUUGGAAAGUGAAAUAUCGACACUUCAUUUUCGUAAAUCAAAUCCGUAAAAUUCAUUAUUAAAUCACUCAACAAUUUUGAGAAUUUUUUUUUAAAACUUUUGAAGUUUGCAUGUUAAAUAGUUGUUUCUUCAUGGGGGAGACUGUCAAAGUGGUAAAGGCAAGGAGCAAGCUUGUGCUUGUGACAGCAACUUGGGGAAGAUUUCGGGAAGUUUCCUUGAAAUUUACACACUGACUCGUUUCCUUAAUUGCCAGGUUGAAAAAAACUAGUUGGUGACUUCAAUUAAGUUGGCUGAAUUUUAUGAAUAAACUGUGAAUUAGCUGCUGUUGAUUUUCGGUAUGUAGCAAAUAAAACAUGCUGGAAAUUUGAAGAAAUGGUUGUCCAAAAUGACUGUUGUUUUCAUAAGACAUGAAGAAAUGGUUGUCUAAAUUGGCUGCUGUUCGGUUAUGGUGUGAGUUUAAUUCAUUUCUUUCUUGAAUCGAUUCGAUUUUAAAAAUUUGAUAAAAAAUUUAAAAUUUAAAUUAAAUAGUUUGAAUUAAUAAUUUAUUUGGAUAAACUCGAAUAAAAAAUUAAAUUUUUUGGUUUAAUUCGAAUAUGAACUCGAAUAUGAAUUACAGAAUUCGAAUUAUCUGAAAAUCUAAAUAAAGAACGCAAAAUUCAAAUUCAAAUUAACAUAAUCUGAACUUACUAAGUAACGAUCUCUUCAAAUUCAAGCUUAAAAUCAUCAAUUAAACUUUAAUGGCAACUUUCUGAGCAUCUAACAAUUGAAGAAAAUAAUACAUGUAUUAGCUAAAUGAAGCUCCCGUGGUUCAAACUUUAUAAAAAUCUUAAGGAAAGAAUUUAAUUCCGGUGAUUAAUUUUGGAUUAAAAUGGAAAAGAAAACAAAUAUGUUUUUCCUUCUUUUCAGCUUUGGAUGGCCAAACAAAAUGAGGAAGAUGAUAACUUCAUCUUUCUCUCCACUCUCUUAGUAUUUGUACUGAUCAAAAUUAUUGAACUAACAAAGUAGUGACUUGAUCAGUUUGAAUUUUGAAAACCUUCCAUAAAAGAACACAAGUGUCCAAACCCUAAUUCAAUUUUGAUGUCAACAUCAUCUCUCUACCAAGCUUCAAGAAAGUAGACAUCUUAUCGGUAUCAGGCAAGUUGUCUUUGAUUACAGGGAUUGAUUUGAAAUUUUGGAUCCACAAGCUCACUCGAGGGAACUUGUGUGGCUCAAAGAUUUCAAGCCCUACUACGUCUUCGAGAACCCCAAGCCAGUGAGCAACAAAGGAAAAUGCAAUGUCCACCAUGUUUAUCUCGUCUCCGCCAAAGAACUUUUUCACUCCAAUCAGCGCAUGUUCUUCCAUGACUUCCAACAUUUCCAACCACUCCUUCACUGCCGCCUGUUGUUCUUCGCCAUCGGCUUGAUAAAGCUUUGACAUUAAAUAACCCUGUUUUAAACAGAGAUAUGGGAUUUCUAGUAUCAGCCAUCAAAAGUUAUGUACGAUAAAAGAUUUUUAAAGAUUUCAACUAGGUUCAAAUAUGCUACAAAUCCUUGUAUUCUUUGUAUGUUUAAAAUUUAGUCCUCCUAUUUUUGUUUUAAGAAAUUUAAUUCCAUCACUUUUAAAUUUAAAAAGGGUUAAAUCACUUCACUGGGUUUGAACUUAGCAACUACUCCCACAUUGGAGCAUGGACUUUUUUUUUCAAAUUAGUCCUUAAACUUGACAAUUAUUCUCAUGGUAUGACCUGAUAAAAGCUACUUAUCAUUUAAUAAAGAAUAUUUUGGCCUAAUAAAAGCUACUUCUCAUUUAAUAAAGAAUAUUUUUAAUUAACUCAAUUUUAAUUUAUUUAUUUUAAUAUUAUGUUAUCCUAUAAAAACUUUAUGUUUAAAAUUUUAAUUAUGGUUUAGAAUAAGGUAAAAUGUUUAGAAAAUUAAGAAUAAAAUGUAAAAUAUAAUUUUUUAUAAUUCAAAAUCUAUAUUUAUCAAACAAUAUAAUUAUAUUCCCUAAUUAAUUUUAAGUAAUGUAUCAAGCAAAUUUUAUAACUUAAAAUUCGGUACUUAAAUUUUCAAUACUUAAUUUUUCAACCCUUAUUUUUUCUGCACUUAAUCUUUCAGUUUAUCAAAGAACACCUCAGUCCCUAUAUUUUCUUGAAAACCCUAAUAUUCAAGCCCCAACAUGGGAACAAUUGCCUAGUCCAAGCAAUAACAUGAGAACAAUUACCACGAUUAGGGACUAACUUGGAUAAAAAAAAGUUCAAGCCUUAAUGUUGGAACAACUACCUAAUUCAAGCCUUAACAUGUGACCCAAUGUGAGAAUUGUUGCCAAGUUUAGGCCUCAAAUAAUGAUUUAACCCAUUUAAAAAUGUAAAUAUAAUCGUAAACAUGAUUUUUUUUCCGGUUAAAUUGAAGUUCAUAACUUUUUUUUUGUUAUAUGACUACCAAAUGAAUAACUAUUUUUUUAUUUCAAAAUAUCACACCAAAAAAAUUAAUAAAAAAUUAACUGUAUUAACAAUUGAGUUCGGGUUUAGAGUAAAAAAAAUUACUAAUUUUAUAUGUCAAUGACAUGAAAAAAAUUAGUGAAAUAUUAUUAAAUAAUUAGAAAUAGACAAUAGAUAAUAUGGUGGGAAAGGUCCAUAAAAUAGUUUCUUCCAAUACAACACUUAAUAAAUGAUUUUGGCUAUAAAUAUAGAUAAAUAAAUAUAAAUAUAAAAAAUCAAUAAACGGGAAAAUCGUCAUAUGCAUCAAAUAAAUAAAUAAAAGGUUUAAUUGCAAAAUUAGUGUCUAAACUAUAUCAAUUUUCUCCUUUUAAGUACCUCAAAUUUUUGGUAAAAAUAUACUUAAACUAUUAAUUUUGUUACAUUUUGCCUAAAAAGUGCACGAUGGCAAUAAAACAUGCUACUGUAUUUUUGGUAAAAUAAGACAAAAUUAACCAUUUAAAAAUCAUUUUGCAAAGAAGAGAAAAAAAAAACUCUUAGGCACCUAAGUGAUAAAUACGAUAUAGUUGGAGGGUUAAUUUUGUACUUAAUCCAAAAAAGAAAAGAACAGAUUUUACCUUAUCGUCCGCAAAUUUGAUCCAAAACCGAGCAACAGCUCUGUCAUAGGGACCAGCCGGCAGCAAGAGAUUCUGCGGCCAAAUUUCAUCGAUAUAUUGAAGGAUGACGGUGGAUUCACAGAUCGGUUUUCCGUCAUGAACGAGCACCGGGACUUUCUUAUGAAUUGGAUUAUAUUGAAGAAGCAAAGGACUCUUGUUGCGGACAUCUUCUUCAAUAUAUUCGUAAGGUAUGCCUUUGAGUUUCAGAGCCCAAAUAACUCUGCAAGCGUACGGACUAAACCAAGC
rnacentral:lncRNA from 1 species